rnacentral:lncRNA from 1 species
UUUUUUUUUUUUUUUUUGGUAUUUUCAGCUUUGUUUGGAAAGUGGAAAAUCCUCGCAAGUGAUUUGGUGCCUUUUGUUCCCUUGCAUUUUGGUAAAUAAAUUUCUUGCCAUUCUUUUUAAUUUAUUUUUUUGCACCACGAACAUGUAUCCUGAUCAGUAUUUUUUUUUUUUGUAAAUUUCAGCUUUGGUCCGAAAAUAGAAAAGGUUUUCCAGUCAAAUUUCUGUUCAUUCCAGGUUAGUUUACCUUUGAUUUGUAUCAUUAAUUUGCUGAAAUUUUUGUUAAUAUUAUAUGGGCUGAUAUUUUAAAUAUUUUAAUAUCAGUGUCAUGUGCCUAUAUGUUUGGCUAUUUACUCUUAUGAUAAGUUUUUGCUUAUGCUUCUUAAGAAGAUAUAGCCGCGCUUUACUGCUUUAAUGUGGUAUUUUAAGGCAUCGAAAUAUUAAUAAAGUAUAUUUUAAAAAACAUUCUUAUUGGCCAAAAAAUUAGUGAUUUUCCCCCCAAUUUAUGCUUGCCCUUCUGAUUUACCUUCUGUGUACACUAUCUCAUCUCCCAACUAUGCAAUUCUCUUUUUUUUCCUAGAAAAAGGAGAGAAUCAAAGAGGGGAAAGCACUAUACAUCUCCCCCCCCCACCCCUAUUUGCCUUCAUAGCCAAAAACACAAAGAAAUACUCACACUUUCGCAUCAAUUUUCAGCCAUUUGAUGAAUUUAUUGUUAAGUUUUUCUGGCCUUUUUUUUCCCAAAAUUGACCUCCUAGCAGAAAUGCUUGCUUUGGUUAUUAUUGAUUGUUUUGUAAGUUUGAAAGAAUCAAGAAGAAGCACAACAAAGUAAACAUCCAGUGUUUAAGGUGUGUGAUAAUUUUUUUCAAUAGUAACAUGCUUUGUGUUUGAUGAUUUGCUUCUAAAGGUAGAUUUACCACUAAACUGAUUUAGUUUUCUGAAAAUUUACGUGUCCCAUUGUUAUGGAGUAUUAGAUGAUUUGAGAGAUGUUCUUUAGCUUACUGUUUGGUCCUAAUAAAAAAUGAUUUUACUUUUGCCUUUGUGUUCGUAUGCUGAAUGAUCCUUUAAUGUCUUGCAAUGGCUCGAACUAUCUUUAAAUUCCAUUGGAAACAAUACUUUGAUAGACCUAGAAACAUUAAUUUCAUCGAUUGUUUUUGACUUUUACUGCAUUGUCAUGUUAUUGACUAUCAUAGUUAGGACCAAAGACCAGUAAAAGAGUAUUUCCCCAGCUUCUACUGUCUUGGUUCUAAUUUUCCACAUGUUUUGGGGCUCAACAAGUAGAAUCUGCACUCACGAUUUAUUUGAUAUAAUUUGGUUUCCGCUUAAAUUUUGGUUUUAGAAACUAGUCAUGCACUAAUUAAUUCCCGGCACAGAUAAGCACUUCUGAGUUCCAUACCUUGGUUCAUUGAAAGGGGAUUGUUCAAUGGACGGAUCCUAACUUGGGGGGACAAAGACUUUUAACAUACCUCAGUCUUCAAUUAUUUUGCAGCUUCCUUGUUAUAUUAGUUUCUCUGGUUUUGCACAUGGACAUAGACAUUGCUUUAAUUACCCUACUGCUAUAAUAGUUUGCACAUGGACAUGGUUUCUCAACAUGAUGACAAUUAAGAUCUUUCAUGUUCUAUUAAUUUUAAAAAUGAGAGUUAUAGGGAAUUUUUCAAUAUUUUUUACACAACAAAUUGGGCAUUGUCAGAAAAUUUCUAGUAAAAAAAUAAACAACUCAAAAUCCUACCCUCUUUAUGCUUCCAAAAAAAAAAAAAAAAAACCCUACCCUCUUCAUAUUUUCAUCGCGCUUUCCCAUUUCAUUUUCACCGCCACCGCUCGACUGCCUUUCUUACUAGACAACUCAAAAAGACAAAAACUAACCUUAUCAGCUUAGCAUUUUUUCUCCUACCUCUCUUGUAGUCUCUUACAUGAUUCCAUUUGCAACUUCUAUUCGCAGCGACGGGACUACAGGAGUCAAGUCCAAAAUCUAAGGCAUCUCAACCUUUGUCUCGGGUCUCUCCCAUCUCACCAUCUCUUCCUCUCGGCCUCUUGCAGCCAUCUCCUCUGAACAGGUAAGCUGAUUCCUAAUUUCAUAUGCCAAAUUGUGACCUCAAUUGAAUAAUAUUGAUGAAUUGCUGACCUAAUUUAUAUUUUUUUAAAAAUAUUACAGUAUAUGUAAUAUUUUUGGUGAAUCAGAUACGGAUGUGUUUGUGGUUCUUGGUUCUUGCCAUAAAUUGUUCUAAUGGUGAAAAUUUACUUAAUAUUGUCCUGAAUCUAAUCAAGUAAUUAUGGCCGUAAACUGAUAAAAUUUACCCUAACAUUGAUUUUGCCUCAAUUUAACAUUGCUUCAAUUGGAUUUUCAGAAAACUCUUGUUUUACAUUAGGUUUAAUUUUAGAAUGAGUAUCUAAAGUAAUUUGUCCUACUUUAUCAACUAACUCAUCUAAGUCUGAUUCAGUUGCAAAUUCAAUUUGACUCAUCAAUAUUUAAGAUAAGCUAUAUGUUCAUAUAAUAUUUUACUACUACGAUGCAUAGUCAAUAAAUCUUGUGUUCUAUCUUCUUUUAAUCUUAUUGAUCUUGGUCCCUAGCUUUUGAUGAUUACAAAACAAAUGGAUGUUGCUAACAUCUCCUCAAAGGCUUUUUCAGAAAUGAAUCAAAUCAGGUUCAAAGAUUAAGCACAUUUGAAAAAGACAGAGUAUGCUGAACCUGUCGGACGCUCAAAAAGACAGUACCGGACGUCCGAUAAUCAUUGCGCUACUUCAGACGCAGAAAACCAGCCUACCGGACGUCCGAAAGAAUUGAAGAAAAUCUCUUAAACUCACUGCUUGCUGUCGGACGCAUAAAACAGGGCUAUCGGACGUCCGACAUUCCAACGACUAGUUGACUCUUCAGCUACUUUCUAUCCGUUUGAAACAUUAAUGAGGCACUUUCUUGAUCCUAUAUAUAUAGUGGUUGGUCAAAUAUUUCAAACAACUUUUGCACACUGAAGAUACAAAAGAUCUAGAGUGAUUUUAGUGAGAAAAUACUCUUCAAAGAAGAUUUGUAGUCUUAGUGGUGUGAGAUUCAUUGUAAGCUUUUCAUUUGUGAGUGAAUACUUCAUGAGUGUAGCUCUGUGAGGGUUGUCCUGAGGGAUAGUAAAACGUCCUGACUUGACCGAGUGUAGUUCGGGGCAAGGAGGAGGUGAACCUUCCUUUGUACACGAGUGAUUGUAAUUCAUCAACUUGAAGUAGCUUGUUUCAAUUAAUCUACAAGCUCAAGAGGAGUUGGGUAGUUAAUUGGUUUGCAAUCCUUUCCUUUUUAUUUACUUACUAUUACAUUUGUGAUCUUUGCAUUGUUUAUGUCUUUCACUUGGUUGUUUUCGAUCCUUACAAUUGGUAUCAGAACUUGGUCUUCUAGAGAUUAAGCUCAAUCGGCUUGGGAGUAAAUAUAACAACCAAUAAUGCUAUGUUUUUUGAAGGACAUUCUGUCAUUAGACCACCUAUGUUUAAUGGGUCAAAUUAUGUGAGUUGGAAAGAAAGAAUUAUUAUUUUUUUGCAAUCUAUUGAUAUUGAAUAGUGGUUUAUUAUUAGUGAAGGUCCAUAUGAUGCCUCUCUUAUAGAUGAAAAUACUCAUAGAUCUAGAUCAAAAAUAAGAAAUGAACUGACUGCUAUACAUAGAACUCAUCUCAUUUUAAAUGCAAAAGCCAUGAAUGUGUUAUUUUGUACUUUAGACUCAAAUAAAUCUAUUAGAGUCAAGGGUUGCAAGUCAGCUAAAAAAAUUUGGGACAAAUUGAAAGAAAUUCAUGAAGGUAGUGAGAAUGUGAGAGAAUAAAAGAAGUCUAUUCUGGUUACCAAGUAUGAAUCGUUCAAGAUGAAACCUCAUGAAAACAUUGAUGAGAUGUACUGUAGAUUCAACGACCUCAUUAAGGACUUAGAGGUGUUGGAAAAAGAAUAUUCUCUAGGUGAGAAAAAUAGAAAAAUCCUGAAUGCCUUGUCCAAUGAUUGGAAAAAUAAAGUGGUUGCUAUUGAGGAGGCUAAAGAUUUGAAUACUAUGCCUAUUGAAUCUCUUAUUAAUUCUCUAAUUUCUUAUGAGCUGAAAUUUAAGUCCAAAAUGCAAGAGGAUGAGAAUGCGAAAGUAAGAAGGAGUAUUGCUCUAAAGGCAUCUCAAGAUGAAGAUGAUUCUGCCUCUCUAGAUGAAGAAGAUGCAGAAGGUGAUGACAAUGAUAUCGCACUCAUCACAAGAAACUUCAAACGAAUACUCAACAAGAGGAGAUUCAGAAAAGGUGGACCUAGCAAUUCACUUCCAAAUCAGUUCAACAAUCUGAGAAACAAAGGGAAGCUAGAGCUCAACAAAAAGCAAACUGAUAAGUGCUUUGAAUGCGGCCAACUUGGACACUACACAAGUGAGUGUCAAAUGAAGAAGAGGAACUGUGAAAGAAAACCAAGAUUCAACAACUUCCAGUUCACAUGGAAUGAAUGCAAGUCCGAUGGUGAAAUUGAAGAGAAAGAUGAAUCUGCUUAAUUGGAUUUCAUGGCCAUUGGAGAUGAUGAGGUAACAUUUUCUAACUCUCAAUUUGAAAGUGAUGAUGAAACUGAUGAUGAUCUUGAAUCUUUCAUUAUAAAAUUGCAUGAUAGUUUGAAAGAAUCCUAUGCUAGAAACAAGGAGUUAAAACAGAAAAUUAGUUUUUUGCUUCGAGAUAAUGCAAAUCUUUUUCAACAAAAUAAAAAGUUGAAAGUUGAAAAUGAUUACUUCAAAAAGAGUGAGACUGCUUUACACUUUGAGCUUGAUAGAAAAACAAAGCUUUGUGAAUUGUUCAAAAAGGAACAAGGUGAUUUGAAAAAAAGAAUGGAUGGUCUAAAUGAGUUGCUUAAACACAAGAAACAAGUCUGUUUUCAAAAGAAUAGGUUGAAUUCUAAUUCCAACGAAUUUGCUAUUUAUAAGAGAAAACAAGUAAGAUUUAUUAAACCUGUUCAUAUAAAUAACUCUUUGGUUAAGUGUAAUUUCUGUUGUCAAAAAGGUCACAUGAAAAGUGAUUGCUAUGUGAGAAAGAAUAUAAAAAAAGGCAUGAAAUUCAUGUGGAUAGUUAGACAUGAUACUAAUUCUAACAAGUAGGAGAUAUUGGUAAGAUUAAUGAGAUUCUUGUUCAUAAUACUUUUUUGUAAUUCUCUUUUGAUGUUUUGAACUGAGUUUUUAUUGAUUUUUUACUGUUUGUAUGAUGUCAAAAAGAGUGAAAAAAAAUAAUGUUGAUCUCAUGAUGAUUUGCUGUGAUUGCUGUCAUUUCUCUGUUUUUAUUUGGAUUAUUGGAUUCUCUGUUAUUGUUGCUGGUUUUUUGUAGCUGUUUUUUACUCUCAUCUUAUGAUGACAAAAAGGGGGAGAAAUGGAUGCUAUGUGUAAGGGGGAGUUAUUCUGAAAUUCAUAAGUUUAGAUGCAUUGUGUGAGGAGGAGCUUAUGCUUAUAUGCUCAAUUUUUUCUUUCUUCCAUCCAUUGUUUUGUCAUCACAAAAAAGGGGGAGAAUGUUGAUCUUGGUCCUUAGCUUUUGAUGAUUACAAAAUAAAUGAAUGUUGCUAACAUCUCCUCAAAGGCUUUUUCAGAAAUGAAUCAAAUCAGGUUCAAAGAUUAAGCACAUUUGAAAAAGACAGAGUAUGCUGAACCUGUCGGACGCUCAAGAAGACCGUACCGGACGUCCAAUAAUCAUUGCGCUACUUCGGACGCAGAAAACCAGCCUACCGGACGUCCGAAAGAAUUGAAGAAAAUCUCUUAAACUCACUGCUUGCUGUCGGACGCAUAAAACAGGGCUAUCGGACGUCCGACACUCUAACGACUAGUUGACUCUUCAACUACUUUCUAUCCGUUGGAAGCAUUAAUGAGGCACUUUCUUGAUCCUAUAUAUAUAGUGGUUGGUCAGAUAUUUCAAACAACUUUUGCACACUGAAGAUACAAAAGAUCUAGAGUGAUUUUAGUGAGACAAUACUCUUCAAAGAAGAUUUGUAGUCUUAGUGGUGUGAGAUUCAUUGUAAGCUUUUCAUUUGUGAGUGAAUACUUCAUGAGUGUAGCUCUGUGAGGGUUGUCCUGAGGGAUAGUAAAACGUCCUGGCUUGACUGAGUGGAGUUCGAGGCAAGGAGGAGGUGAACCUUCCUUUGUACACAAGAGUGAUUGUAAUUCAUCAAUUUGAAGUAGCUUGUUUCAAUUAAUCUACAAGCUCAAGAGGAGUUGGGUAGUUAAUUGGUUUGCAAUCCUUUCCUUUUUAUUUACUUACUGUUACAUUUGUGAUCUUUGCAUUGUUUAUGUCUUUCACUUGGUUGUUUUCGAUCCUUACAAAUCUGUUAUUUAAUAGUUCCAUCAUCAUUUCUAAUUCAGACUGUAUCUUUUUGCCGCAAUAGAUUAUGGUCUUUUGCAAUUUAGCAAUAUCUUUUUCAGUUUAAAAUAUCCUGGAACUAUCUAUUCGAAACUAUUCUCUUCCAUUUAGAAGAUGUAAUCUGCGAAAAUGUUCUGUCAAUUCAACAUGUAAAUCACAAAUGCGUUUCUUUUACAAAAUAAUAUCUAUAAUCAGACUAAUGAAGCAUUCUUCUUAUCAUUUCAAUAGUAAAUGGAUGACUAUAGUUUGAUAUUGGUUAAUCCAAUAAUCAACUAUAUGUUGAGUUUUGUGUAUUCCACUUUUAAACAGAUCAAUAUGUUUUUGUAAAAAUUCACAAUAAUCACAAUUCAUUCUAGAUAAGUCUAAUCUAUAUCAUCAACAAGGUUGUCAGUAUUAUCUAAUACAGCUUUAGGAGAGGAAGUAAAACUAUUUUGAUUAUCAGGUAGAGUAAAGAAUCUUUGUGGCUUUGAUACCCCACUCGGCUGUCAAGGACGGUUCAAAUCAGAAAAACUUCAAAUCAUGAUUGUUUAUAAAUGUUGAAGAAGCUAUCAUUAUUAUAAUCAUGUAUUUAUUCUAUUUCUCCCUUUUUUCCUUAAAGGAAAAGAGAUAAAAAUACAUGUAUAUAUGUAUAUAUACACAUUUGUGCAUAUACAUAUGUAUGUAAGAGUGUGUGUGUAUAUGCAUGUAUGCAUAUGUAUAUGUAUGUGCGUGUAUGUAGGACAGUGUCGUUCCUUAUGGUCGCCUUAUUAAGAUUUGCAUUUGUAGAUAUCUCCUCUGAUCGGGAGAAUUUUGUUGUCCAUUCUCAAGGACCAGGUGGUGUGGCAAGUAAAAAUAAAUAAAAAAUAAAUGAAGAAAAGCCAACAAAUCUUCCAAUGCUACUACUACUACUCCUAGGACAACGCAUAGAAAUCCUGCAUCAACCAAAAAAGACAGUCAAGUUGCCCUCUCUAUUUUCAUCGCCUUUCUCACAUUUCCUCAAUAGUUUUUCCUCUAUGGCACUUGAAAAUGGAGAAAAUUUCAAGGGUUUGGUCUAAGUUAAAAGAUUGGACUCCAAAAACCUAAGUGAUACGUGUUGAAGUUUGCAAUAUUAUAUGCUAAUAAGUUUAAUUUAAAAUUUUCUAUAAAUUUAGCCUUGGAAUGUAUAGCAAAAUAUGGUUCUACUCCAAUGCAAUAAGUUGAAUCUGCUAGAUGGCAGAUAUUAUGAAGACAUUUGAUUUUGCUUUCACUUUAUAUUUAAUGAAGAACAUAUUUUCUAUAAGAAUUGAACUCAACCUAGAAAUUUAAAAUAAUAAUUAUAAUUAAUAAGAAACAACAUAUAGGAAGUUUUAUUUGGUAAAAUCAUAAUAUUUUGCUAAUUUUAUGAUGUUAAAAUUUCAGGUAUGAGUGAGACUUGUAUUCUUAAGAGGAGAUCAAUAUAUGAAACUUUAACUAUUAUUAGUUUUAUUUUGCAAAGUAAUUUCAAUCUAUGGUAUUUUAGAUAUGUAAGUUUCAAGAGUUCAAUGGCUGUUUCAUAUAUAGACAAUCACCAGGGGCCGUUUGUUUCAAUAUACCUUUUUUUUUGUAAUGUCGUACCAUAUCGUCCUUUGUUUAGUUUUGAUAAGCAUAGGUUGCUUAGGUUUACUCAACUUUACCCAUAUGAAUUUCUCCACAAUUAGUGUUUUUUUUUUUUGGUAUUUUCAGCUUUGUUUGGAAAGUGGAAAAUCCUCGCAAGUGGUUUGGUGCCUUUUGUUCCCUUGCAUUUUGGUAAAUACAUUUCUUGCCAUUCUUUUUAAAUUUAUUUUUUUUGCACCACGAACAUAUAUCCUAGUCAGUAUUUUUUUUUGUAAAUUUCAGCUUUGGUCCGAAAAUAGAAAAGGUUUUGCAGUCAAAUUUCUGUUCAUUCCAGGUUAGUUUACCUUUGAUUUGUAUCAUUAAUUUGCUGAAAUUUUUGUUAAUAUUAUAUGGGCUGAUAUUUUAAAUAUUUUAAUAUUAGUGUCAUGUGCCUAUAUGUUUGGCUAUUCACUCUUAUGGUAAGUUUUUGCUUAUGCUUCUUAAGAAGAUAUAGCCGCGCUUUUCUGCUUUUAUGUGGUAUUUUAAGGCAUCGAAAUAUUAAUAAAGUAUAUUUUAAAAAAAUUCUUAUUGGCCAAAAAAUUAGUGAUUUUUCCCCCCAAUUUAUGCUUGCCCUUCCGAUUUACCUUCUAUGUACACUAUCUCAUUUCCCAACUGUCGCGCCCCACUUUUUGAAUGUGAUGAGUGUGGUGUGAACGUGCGCAAAAUGAAAAUAAAGGGCCAUGGGACUUAAGAAUGCGACGAUUUGGCCAAAUAAAGUUCAAAAAAGGGUUUUUUAAUAAAAAUGGAGUCGCCACUUGGUAUAGAGUUAGGGUGUACCAAGUCACCCAAAAAUGAUUUUUGUUUUUGAAUGAAAAAAGUAAAUAAACCCUUUUAGAGAACUUUUGGGUCUACGUAACCAAAAAAGAGGGAUCGGGGAUCACAUUUGACGAAGGGGAAGGCAAUGAUAAAGAUCCAAGGCACCCCUUCGACCUAGCCAAGGCUAGUUGCGUGAUUUAGCCCUACCUUUUCUAAUUUUCCUACCCAAGGUAUGUAUCACAUGUUGGAUAUGACUAUAUGAAUGCAAAAACCUAGACCUAUGGGGACAUGGGGGAAAUUUCUCUUCAAAGGUUGAGUGGUGCCAAUCACAUUAAUUUGUGAAGCCCAAUAAUGAUCCUUUGGAGAGGUCACACGUAAUCCUAAAUGACGUAAAAAUGAGUGGAAUGCAUGCCAUGUGAAAGUGUGAGUUUGUGUGAAGUGAGAAAAAUGGUAAAAGUAAUAAGAUAUAAGUGGGGGUGUGCAAAUGUCUUUUCAAGGUAACGUAAGUAAAGAAUAAUAAGGUGAAAAAUGCCAUAAGGUGCAUGUGUGCGAGUGGUAUGGUAUAGAUGGUAGUGUGCAAAUGGGUGUAAUUUGUGAGGUAGAAAAAUAAAUAAGUGAUAGGAGAAGUGCGUGAACAUAGCAUGUGAAGUGAGAAAAUCAUAAGUAGUGAAAAAUGUAGAUGAAAGAGUGAAAUGAUAAGAUGAGAUGCAUGAACCUAUUGGAGUGCAUCAAGUCGGGUACGGGAGAGCUAAGUCGUGACUCAAUUUUCCCUUUGAUAGAGGGAAUAUAAGCGUGCUAAGGCUUAGAAAAAGCCACACUCGUCUAUAUCCCAUAUUUAAGGGGACUCUUCAGGCAAAUGUACCCUAUCACUAGCAUGAGAUGCAAAAAUCCUAAAAUGAGGGGAAAAGGGGCUCGAGGAGCAUGCCAAAUGAUAAAACUAAGAAAAAUGCAUGACAUGUAGUGGACAUGCAAAUAUGCACUAACAAAAGGGGAUGGCCUAUUGGGUCUAGCGUUGGACUAGCCCUUUCUAUGAAUUCCUAAUGAAAUAAUGAGCCACAACUAGCAUUGGACUAGUGUGGUGACGUACAUUCAUCCAUCACAUUCAUUCAUGGCUAUGGAAAGCGAUUAGACAUGCCAAACACCUAUAAGCACAUAGCACAUAACAAUUAGCAUGUUCGACUAAAUGCAAGAACCUAAUAAAGCAAAUUAACACAUAGCAACAAAAACAAGCAAUCAAGCUAAUAAACCUAUUACAUUUGCUAGCUAGGCACAAUGUCUUCAAUAGGUCUUCAUCAAGUGCUCCCCAAGCCCUAUCUAUUACAAGCCAAGAGGUGUACACAUACCCCAUAAUGAAUAACUUAAAUUACAAGCCAAGAGGUGUACACAUACCCCAUAAUGAAUAACUUAAAUAAAAGUAAAGGUAAAUGAAAUAAAUGCAAAGACUUAAAGAAAGGCAAGGAAAGCAACGUAGACAUGCAAUUCACACUUAGCACGUUGGAUCACAUAGGAGAAAUGAAAAUCAAGGAGAUAGAGGUUACCUCCCUUGUAAUUGGGCACCAAUGAAGCGAAAUCACUUAUUUAUCUUCCAAAAUAAAAGAAAUGGUCAAGGCACCAAUUUAUUUGGAAAAAAUAAAGAAAAUAGGCAAACACAAGCUCACUUGGUCAUAAAGCCCCUAAAAUCAUGAAUUAAGUGCAAUUGAAACAAAGCAUGGUAGUCAAUUGAAGCAAGCAAGCAAUGAAAUUGUAGAAUUAAAAUUGCCAAGGACCAAAUUGAUGAAAUUAUUCAAUUGAUUGGGUCCUAGUAGAACAAGGGGAGACUUGAGGGAUCAAAGUGCAGUUUUCAGCAAUUGUUUCAUGCAAAACUCAUGCAAGCUACGUAGACAAGAAAACUUCUGCAAUUUACUUUCUAUUCCAACUUCUAUCAACCGAGAAAGAAAACUGCUGCACUUCUCAUUUCCAUUUCCAAGCUUUGAUCAAAACAUUUCAUCUAAGCAUAAUCAUUUCAUCAUUUGCAAGAUUAAGGCAGCUAUUCUUAUUGCAGGAUUAAAACAAGAAGUGAAGCUGGCCAUCAAGGGUGAAAAACUAAACAGCAAGACAGCAAUAAAAGGAAAACAUGUCGCAGAUUUUCUGCAACAGAAAAUUCGGCAGCUUGCCAAACGUUCUUCAACCAAGAAGACAUCAUCCCAUGCUCCACUCUUAUGCGCAAAAAACAUUAGCUAAACACACAAUUCCGUUGCACAUAUGAAGUUGGAGCUGACCAUCAAGAAAGUAAAAAAACUAAACAGCAAAGAAGAAAGAGUGCAGCAAAGUUUUUCUGCGAUCAGCUUCCUAAACUUCAAAGCUUCGGCAACCGAGAAUGAAUCAGGAUUUUUCAAUCAAGCAUCAAAAACUUUGGAUUAAACAACAGCUACCUAAAACCGCAAGCCCAAACAAGAAAAAACACUUAAGAUAGCCAUCAUGCAAAUCUGGAAAAUCAGAAGAUUUGCUGCAAUUUUCAGCCACGACUUGUCCAGAAUUUCCAGUUUAUCAUGCCAACAGAAAUAGAAUUAUGAAGCCUGUGGGUUUAUCCAUCGAACCCCCCCCUUUUACAGUCAGAUCAAAUCAAGAGAAACACAAGCUUCAGUGGUUCUAAGCUAACCCAAUCCAGAUUCACGCACCAAAGGAAACCCAGAGGCACGAUCAUGAACUUCUGGUAAUACCUAGGCUGAUGAUGCAAACUACCCUUCACAUAUUUAAACCGCAAAGCACAGAGCUUUAUUUAGUCAAACACACAACAAACGCAAUCCCAGGCAUAUACUUCAUCUUAAAAGAACAGAACAACGCAAAACCUUGUCUGACUUCAACUUUAGUAAACCAGAUUUUUGAAAACAAACCCACCAGACAAUCGAUAGCAAAAAUGCAGUCAGGGUGGACGUACAAAACUGGCUUUGCGACCCAAACCUUAAAACGAACAGAGAAGAGAUUGAAGAUUACCUAUUUCGCUGCUCCCGGAGUUAAAUCACCGUGGGUAGUCCCGGAUUGGCCGAACCCGAACUGCGAACUUUGACAAAGGGCCGUGGAGCUUCGAGCUUUAGGCUUCAUCUCUUUACGGUUUCCUUCGAUGGGUUUCUCUUCCUCCACUCUUUUGGUUCUUUCUCAGCCGCCAACCACCUGAUGCUAUUCUCCAGCUCUUGCUCUCGGUUUCUUCCCCUCCCCCAGCUCUCUUUUCUCUCUGGUUUUUUCUUUCUCUUUGUCGUCCCUCUCUUCACUCCCGUAACCUCUUUCUCUCUCUCCCAACCUAGCCUUUUGCACCGCUCUCUGCUUUUCUCUUCCCGUCAGCUUUUUGGUUUUCUCUUCUCUUCCCAAAUUUCUGCAGCCGUCCCUCGAUCUCCCUUUGCGGCUACUGCCUCUCUUUUCUUUUAUAUGGGAUCCCUAGCCCUAAAGCCCAGUCCUUUCUCUCCUAUAUUUGCAGCUAAGGGACUGCCCAGGUCCUCUCUUGCAAGCUGCGAAAAUACGCAGCUUGCUGUCGCGUGUUCCCCUUCUUUUUUUUUUUUUUUUUUGUAAAGAGUAAUUUAACACAAAUGAUAAUAAACAUAAAUAACAAAAAUAAUUUAAUUAACAUUGGGCAAAAUAAAUAAACUAGAAGCAACAAAGUGCAACUUCCAUUUUCCUUUUUUCAUUUUUCAUUUUUCAUUGUUUUUCUUCUUUUUUUUUUCCUUUUCAAAAUAACUUAACAAAAAUAAGUAAGAUGCUAAAAGAUUGAUUUUAAAAGACAUAAAACAUAUUUUUUGGAACACUUUUCUUUUUCCUUUGAGAAAUUCUAGCUAAAAUGGCUAAAAUAACUAAAACUAAAAGUAAAUAAAACUAAAUGUGACAAUUAAAAAUAGAACAAAUAAAAACGAAUAGUAAAUAAAUAAAUAAAUAAUAAAACACCAAAAAUUUGGUGUCUACACCAACCAUGCAAUUCUUUUUUUUUUUCCAGAAAAAGAAGAGAAUCAAAGAGGGGAAAGCACUAUACAUCUCCCCUCCCCACCCCUAUUUGCCUUCUUGGCCAAAAACAUGAAGAAAAACUCACACUUUCGCAUCAAUUUUGAGCCAUAUGAUGAAUUUAUUGUUGAGUUUUUCUAGCCUUUUUUUUCCCAAAAUUGACCUCCUAGCAUAAAUGUUUGCUUUUUUAUUAUUGAUUGUUUUGUAAGUUUGAAAGAAUUAAGAAGAAGCAUAGCAAAGUAAACAUCUAGUGUUUAAGGUGUGUGAUCAUCUCUUACAAUAGUAACUUGCUUUGUGUUUGAUGAUUUGCUUCUAAAGGUAGCUUUACCACUACACUGGUUUAGUUUUCUGAAAAUUUACGUGUCCCAUUGUUAUGGAGUAUUAGAUGAUUUGAGAGAUGUUCUUUAGCUUACUGUUUGGUCCUAAACAAAAAUGAUUUGACUUUUGCCUUUGUGUUUGUAUGCUGAAUGAUCCUUUAAUGUCUUGCACAGGCUCGAACUAUCUUUAAAUUUCAUUGGAAAUAAUACUUUGAUAGACCUAGAAACAUUAAUUUCAUCGAUUGUUUUUGACUUUUACUGCAUUGUCAUGUUAUUGACUAUCAUAGUUAGGACCAAAGACCAGUUAAAGAGUAUUUCCCCAGCUUCUACUGUCUUGGUUCUAAUUUUCCACAUGUUUUGGGGCUCAACAAGUAGAAUCUGCACUCAUGAUUUGUUUGAUAUAAUUUGGUUUCUGCUUAAAUUUUGGUUUUAGGAACUGGUCAUGCACUGAUUAAUUCCCGGCACAAAUAAGCACUUUUGAGUUCCAUACCUUGGUUCAUUGAAAGGAGAUUGUUCAAUGGACGGAUCCUAACUUGGGGGUACAGAGACUUUUAACAUACCUCAGUCUUCAAUUGUUUUGCAGCUUCCUUGUUAUAUUAGUUUCUCUGGUUUUGCACAUGGACAUGGACAUUGCUUUAAUUACCCUACUGCCAUAAUAGUUCGCACAUGGACAUGGUUUUUCAACAUGAUGACAAUUAAGAUCUUCCUUGUUCUAUUAAUUUUAAAAUUGAGAGUUAUAGGGAAUUUUUCAAUUUUUUUUAACACAACAAAUUCACAUUGGCACAGCUAGAAAAUUUCCAGUAAUCAACUGUAAGUGACUGGCUUCUAGCAUCCUUACAAUAGGUAUUAAAAAAAAAGCCAUAUUUUUUAGCCAUUUAAUGUGCUAGUAACCUCCAAAGGGUCACCAGCAUGUAACUUUAGAAAAAUUUUGUAUCCUCCCUUGUUAUUUGCGUUGGGGAACAAAUGACAAGUCUAUGUAACAUUGGUAUAAAAUGUAUUUUAAUAAAAAGGUUCAAUUAAAUGUGCAAUUAGGUUGAAAAGAACCAUAAGCUGAGUUAGAAAGGUAAAUUUCUUAUGUACAAGGGGCUGAAAUUAUAUUUAAAAAAGUAGAAAAUCGUCAAGAGAUCAAAUUACUUGCUGAAAAAGAUAAUAAAGUCAAAAUACAUAAUUUUCGUUGUCAAACCCUACAUUCCUAAUCCCUCGUUCAGGUGGCUGCCAAACAGAGCACCUCUUCAGCUCUUCUUCUCUUAUUAACUAAAACAAAGCCACUCUUCCUCUUCCUCUUAGAUUAGAUGCCAUCGUUACAAAAUCUCCUCCUCUGCCAUUGAAAGAGAAUCAACAGCCGGUACUUAUUAAGCGAAAAGACAGCAGGUAUGGUGAGUGUUUUUCUUUUCAAAUGUCUAGCAGCCUUCUUCUUCUUUCUUUCUCAUCCGUAGAGCCACCCUGCUGAUAGUUCUAAUCUUGUAAUUCAUUUUUCAGCCUUGGUUUGAAUUUUUAGGCGUUUGGUUGUUCUUUUUUUACUUUAAAAUUGCUUGUAAUUUUCUAUUAAAUUGCUUUUUUUUUUGGGUUUUGGAGUGGCUGUAAUUGGACAUAUUUCAUAGUGAACUUUGGCAUUUUUAAGGUUUGAACGAUCAGGUCGUAAAGAUAGUGAUGAAGUUGAUGAUAAUUGUAUACUGGUACUUUGUGUUGAUAAUGAAGAAAGUUGGAUGUUAGGAUUCUUGGCCUUAUACCCGAGUUGGAAAUUCGAUGAUGAAGAUUUUUAAGCCUUGUUCCAAGUUUAAAAACAUUGUUUACAACUACUGUCUAUCGGAAUUUAGUAAUUUGUUUUCUAGGAAGAAAUGAUGGUGGAGGAGAAACGAGAAGUAGAAGAAGAGGAGGUAAAGGUGGUGGAGGAGGAGGAGGAGGAGGAAAGAAUUCAGAGCUUCAAAGAAUUGGGAGUGUGCUCAGAGCUGGUGGAGGCGUGCGACAAUUUGGGAUGGAAAGCACCCACAAGGAUUCAGAUGGAGGCCAUUCCCCACGCCAUUCAAGGGAGCGACAUCAUUGGACUUGCCCAAACUGGUUCGGGUAAAACCGCUGCCUUUGCUCUGCCAAUUCUCCAAGCUCUUCUUCAAGCUCCCCAACCUUUCUUUGCCUGUGUCCUUUCUCCCACACGGUUUCUAUUUCUUCCCUUUUCCUUUAUCUUAUUUAUCUAUUCACUUAUGUAAUUCUUCUGCACGGUACGAUUUUUUUCUAAAAUUUAUAUUGUUUUUGCUUACAGAGAGCUGGCUAUUCAAAUUUCUGAACAGUUUGAAGCUUUGGGAUCAGGGAUUGGAGUCAAGUGUGCUGUGGUCUGCCUUCUUUUUCUCUUUUCCAUUUUUUUCCCUUUGGGAAACUUUAACCUUAUAGAUCAAUUUCUUCAAACCAAAAUAGAAAUGUUAAUGCUUAUGAUUCCCCCCUGCCUUUUAUUUUUUUAAAAUUAUUUUGUACACUUCAAAAUUUUGUUUCUGUAACUGAAGAGAUUACUGUUGCUUAUGUAGUAGAUUAACUUGUGGUGUACAAUUAUUUUCCAGCUUGUUGGAGGAGUUGCCCAAACUGACCAGAGCAUUGCCCUUGCUAAGCGCCCCCAUAUUGUUGUCAGUUUCAUUCUUCCUCCUUUUUUUCCCUCCUUUUUCAGCUUUUCUAUUUUCUUCUUCAUUUUAGGAGUUUCUCUUUACUGCUUCAUUUCCAAAGCCACAUCCAUUUUCUUUGCUGCUUAUACUUAUCUUUUCCAUCUUUCCUCAAUUUUAGGUGGCAACCCCUGGUCGCCUCAUUGAUCAUCUUUCGAAUACUAAAGGUUUUACGCUGCGUAUGUUGAAGUACUUGGUAAGUUUCCUUCAUAUGUGGAAAACAUUUGGAGUUGUGUUUUGAUAAUUUUUUUCUCUAUGUUAGGUAUAUGCUUGUAAAACCCCUGCGUGCAUGCCUUAGGACUUGAAAAAAGUUUGUUGUUAUUUUGGACUGAUGGGUCAUUUGCUUCCAAGAUAGCUGUGUAUACAAGUUUGCAUACUUUGAACAUGUGUGACUCUCUCUCUUUCUCCUGAUUUGAUCCCAAUUUCUGCCAAAAAUGCAAAAGAUCAGGCUCUGUAUGAUGUGAAAUACUUGUUGCUCUGGAUAUGAUGGUUCCUCAUCUUUCUUAAAAGGACAUUAAUCCUGUGUUUUAAUGGCAGGUAUUGGAUGAAGCAGACAGGUUGCUGAAUGAGGAUUUUGAGAAAUCACUAGAUGAGAUAUUGAAUGUUAUUCCUCGUGAAAGGAAGACAUAUUUGUUUUCUGCUACCAUGACAAAGAAGGUAUAUGGUCAAUUAAUUAUUUUGUUUUGCUUGUGCAGAACUAUAUUAGCUGAUCUUUUCUGUGUCGUGUAGCUGUGAGCUGAGCUCAAUAUUAAGAGAAAUCACUGGCAAACAAGUGCAAGUGUUAUGUUGUUCUGUAAAAAGUACCAUGGUACUGAAAAAACUGUGAUUCUUGUUUUACAGGUCAAGAAGCUCCAGAGGGCAUGUCUGAGGAAUCCUGUGAAGGUAGUAUGGUUGUUACCCCACUAUUCUGGAUGUUCUUUGGGAGUGGAUGAUCUGACUUUGUUUGCAUUUUCUUUCAGAUAGAAGCUGCAUCUAAGUAUUCCACAGUGGAUACGCUUAAGCAACAGUAUCGCUUUGUUCCUGCAAAGUAUAAGGUAUGCCUUUUCUGCAGUGUCACAUUUCUGUUAGUUGAUUGAGCAUAUGCUUGUGUGCUUGCAUUGUUUCUGCAUGCCAUAAUAUGUGUUUCCACUCUGUUACUGAAAUUCUUUUGGGCAAAUAUGCUAAAUCACUCAUUGUUCUUUUCUUUCUUUCUUCUGAAAUCAAAUUACUUGCCGUGCAGGAAUGCUAUCUUGUUUAUAUUCUAACUGAGAUGUCUGGAAGCACAUCGAUGGUGUUUACACGUACAUGUGAUGCAACUGGUCUUUUGGCUUUGAUGCUGAGGAACCUGGGCUUAAGGGCCAUCCCUAUUAGUGGCCAUAUGACCCAGGUAUGGCCACUAAGUGUGUUGAGAAUUUGUCAUAGUGAAGUUCGUUUUCAACUGCAUAUGUUUCUGGUUAAUCGUUUAUUGCUUCUCUAUUUAGCGUGCUCUCAGGUUUUGAUUUCUCUGGACAGGCAAAAAGACUCGGAGCCUUGAACAAGUUUAAGGGUGGAGAAUGUAAUAUCCUCAUUUGUACUGAUGUUGCUAGUAGAGGGCUAGAUAUUCCAUCUGUUGAUAUGGUUAUUAAUUAUGAUAUCCCCACAAACUCAAAGGUCAGUUUCUUUCCUUGUUUUUCAAGUUGGCAUUCUAAAUUCAUGUUUCCCAUACUCUAAAAUUUUUUAAGUUCUUGAUAACUGCUUCAGUCAAGAUUUAACUUUGACUACCUCUGUUUUGUCUGCCGUUGCAGCAUUGUUGUCUCUUCUCAAGGAAUUAUCUUUGCCCUUUCUCUAUCUUGUGCUGUUCUGGAUGCUGACUGCUUGCCACGUGCCUUUGCUUCUAAAUUGCAUUUUAUGUUUCAGUAUCAUGUUAAGUUAUGGAAGAAAUGUUCUGUGCUCUUUUCCCUCUUAUUUACUAUUAUUUUGACUAGGCCUUUACACCUUAUUGGGCUUUGCCUUCCUAUCAUCUUUGACGGUGCUGUUUUUUCCUGUUCUAAUGGCAUUUGUCGUAAUUCAUGGACGACUAAGUUGUGCUUUGUCAAAAAUGGGCAGCUUGACCUAAGGGCAUGGGGAAGUUAGGAGAGGGUGUCAGGAUGUGGGUUUGUGUCUGAUUCCUUGCGGUUACUGGAUUGUGUUUUGUUGUAUCUAUGAAACAGACAUCUUUGUGAUUUAUUAUCUGUAAAAAGUUUUGCUUACUUAUAUAAUGUGCUAUACCUUAUUGAAUGAAUGCUCUCCAGGACUAUAUACAUCGGGUUGGAAGAACUGCUCGUGCAGGACGAUCAGGUGUUGCCAUUUCAUUAGUCAAUCAGUAUGAGUUGGAGUGGUAUAUACAAAUAGAGAAGCUCAUUGGUAUGAACACAUCCUGUACUCUAUGAGCGUUUUGUAGAUGUGAUGUAAUCUUUGUUCUUCGGAUUUACAUUUUUAUGUCUCAGGGAAGAAGUUACCCGAAUUCCCAGCUCAAGAAGAAGAAGUCUUGCUUCUGUUGGAGCGGGUCACGGAGGCUAAAAGAAUCUCUCAAAUGGUACAAAGUUGUAUUUUUGGUUUUAAACAUCUUUGCAAUAACUGAUUUGGGUUGCCUUGCACCUAGCUGCUACUCUCUCUCCCUCUUCCUUCCUCUCCCUCUCCAUCAUGAUGGCAUUUGCUUCGGUCCUUGGCGCCCCCUUCCUCCCUCUCACAAAUUAGCAUUCUGCCCUUAGAAACGUGCACUAGUUGACUAUUUCUAUGAUUUAUCUUUGACAGAAACUCAAAGAAACUGGUGGGAAGAAGAAACGAAGGGGAGGAGAUGACGUCGACGAAGAUGUUGAUAGAUAUUUAGGUUUGAAGAAUGGGAAAGCAAAAAAGUUUAAAAAUCGAUGAUGAUAGAAUGAAUGCAGCAGUAGCUUACAGGGUUUUCAGAUAUUAGCAAUCGGAAAUAUGAAAAGCUUAGGAAGAGAUCAUGAAGGGGGACGAUUUGAAAAUGUAAAAUCAUUUAAGAAGCCUGAGUAAAGAUCCCUACCAAUUUUGUUCCAUUUUAAUCCUAGAUGGGGUACGAUAGAAUUUUAUUUCUUUUUGCUUUUUAAAUAUAAUUGUAUUGUUGCCUAAAGGUUUCUAUAUUAUUGUUUAGAAACUGAUUAUGAAGUGAAAAAUUGUGCAUUUAUGGGCUAUACUGGGCAAAAAAUGUCUGCUGUAGUUUGGUAUGAUCACUUAACAUCACCAACCUUGGCUUGAUGCUUGUGUUGAAGUAAUCGCUGUGUGUGAUAGGAUGGUACCCAAGGCGGAGCGACGCUCGACCCCUUCCAAAAUGGAUACAAGUUGAAACUGGUUAAAGAUGUAUGCUGCAUCUGACGGAUCAUUUAUUUUCCAUAUUAAGAUGCUAAUGUUGCCGUUUUGCUAUUACGAAUCAGAUGAGACUAAAAUAUCAUGUUUAUGAAUGAGAAAUAGCAAUACAAUGACGUUAUUAAUCAGAUGAGUCUAAAAUAUCUUGUUUAUGAAUGAAAAAUAGUAAUAUAAUAAGAAAUGGUAUACAGAGUGGCACAGGAAAUGAAACAAAAGAUUCGUUGAGUUAAGCUCUAUCUUCUUAUCAGUCAUUUUAUUACUGAUCCUAUUCAUUGAAUGAAGUGCUCUCAAGAGGAGUGAAAAAUCAUAGCUCCUAGGCAUGAGGGAGUGCUCAAAAUUGUGAAGAGCUUUCAGGUCUCACUCCGUGGAAGAGAUCAAAGAGUACUUGGAAACUCUGAACUUGGAGAAAUAUAUGAAUAUAUGUAUCAAAUGUGGUAAGAAAAUCACUGUAAAUCUGUAAGACCAUUACUUUGUGCAUUUGCUGAUGUUACUAUUAAUUGAUCAAUCGUCAAGCUUAAGCUCCUGGAAUCAUUAUCAUGGAGAUUGAUUGUCUAUUAUUGAUUCAUUUUACAUUUUGCUUUCUUUAAGAGAUGUAAGAACCUGAUAUUUGACUAAUUGGCAAAACUCUGAAUCGAACUUUCUGCAGUUCUGCUCAACCUAGGACAACAAACUUGUGAAGCAGUAUCACUUAGAAAGAUGCUGAAGGCCUCUUGAUUGGUUCUCUUUCUUCCUAGUCAGAGGGAGGUUUCACAAAUGAAAAAGGAUGUUACUACUAUGAUAAAAAUUAAAUAAAUCCUAAAUUAAGACAAAUUGACUUUGCUUGCACAUUGCCAACAAGAUCCCUGCAUGUUUUUCAAGUGAAGAUAAGGCACAUGAAGCCAUGAAAACCAAUUUGAAUCUGCACUAAAUCGAAUAACCCUGCCUUGUUUAGGCAUUUGAAACAAAUUUCCCUACACUGAUGAAAGUAAAUCCUUAAAAAUCAAAUCAUCUGCUGGAGAAAGUAGUUCACAAAUGGGGGUUAGUGGUGGAUUAAUUCCACAUUUUCGUCUAAUGCAGAUCAGCAACAGAAGACCAUAUACGUUCCAAGUCCCUUGUAAAAUCUUUUUCUCUACCUAAAACUACACUGCCGUGGUUGGCAUUGGCAAUCUUGUCAAUCUCUGCUUCUUGAACUUGCUUUUGAAUGUUGAUGCUGCAUUCAAUUGGGACUACUUGAUCUCGAGUGCCUUGGAUAACAUUGAUUUUCACUUUGGCCAUUCUCAAAGUCUCCAAGUACUUAUCAGCUAAUUUAGCCCCUCCACAUAUGACAUUAUGCAUUGUGUGCCAAGCAGAAUGAUGAGUAUGCCGAGUCAAGUCUAUAAACGUAAAAUGUAGAUUCCUGAAGCAGAAAGAGGUACAAUUCAGUUCUACUUCGAAAAUUUUCAAGGAUUGUUGAAAUGCAUCCACACAAAAAAAAUAAAUAAAUAAAAUAAAAUCAAGAUUGAUGCUUAUUGUAUAAUUUACCUUCUCCUGGUGAUGAAUUUCAAGAGUGAUUCCCACAUUUUAUGAUUUCGGCAAAUAAUGAAGCACACACAUCUGCCUAAGUGUUCAUACCAAGACAUAAAUGAUGAACCAAAUAAAAGAGGUGGCCACAGUCUUUUCGCUGCAAGUCUUUCAAGUGCUACCAUACUAGCAUCCUCUCUCAAAGAAGAGAAGUAAGGCUGAAAUAGCAUGAGAUCACAUUGUCAUAUAGACACAACAGAAAUGAAAAACAAGAAGGAAAAAUAACAGAAUUGUAUCGUAAAUGGAUUCUGGGACAAAAUUCGAUCAUCCCAUGAUGCUUCUCACUUUAUAGCUUCAAACAGCAUUUUACUGUUUAACAUAUCGUGCACUCACCGGUGCUAUGAGGGUUAUUGAUUUCACAGAUUUAGAAUGUUUUGCAGCUAAUGCCAAAGCAAUGAUACACCCCAUGGAGUGUGCAACUAGAUGAAAUGAAUUCAGCUGAUAUGGACCGAUCACUGAGUACUCAAUCAUUUCUAGGUGAUCCUUGAGGGUGUAUAAACAGUCCCUUGGUUUUGGACUUCUCCCAAAUCCCAAUAGAUCUACAGAAAACAAUCUGCAAUUUUGCUUUGCAGAUUCAGAUAAAUUAGGAAAUACAGUUUCUGUCCAGAAUGAGGAGGAUGAGAGAAAACCAUGCAAAAAUAUCACAUUUUCGGCUUCCCUUUCUUUGCUGUCCACCCAGCUAGCUGCCAAACACACAAUGUCUGUCAUUACCAAGUCUUACACAAAAAAGUCAGUUGAGCUUUUGGAAUGCUGAUGCAACAUGUUUUUAGUGAUGCAGCAAAUCUUGUACCGAAAAUAUUCAAAUGCAAGUUCCUUAUCUAACAUGUGAAAAUUCUUCUUUAAUGGUUUGCUCCCAAAAAGCAUAGCUUUUGAUUCUUCCAGGCAAGGUAGUGAGAGAAUAAUGCUAGUGGAAAUAAGAAAUACAGAUAGAAGAAACAUUUAUGUCGAUUUAUCAUAGACAUCUACAUGGAUUAUGUCUAUUUUGCCAACCGAUAUGAAUGUUUCUUCGAGUAUUAUUAAUUGAAAUGGCCAGAACAACCAUCAAAUUUGGACUUUUGAUUAAAAAAUGUGACUGGAAAGUUUUCAAAACAGAAAAAUUAAUCAUCAAUUUUGAAUUUUACUGCUUUAAGCAUUUGAGAUAAUGUCUUUUCUGCUUAGGCCUCAGUCCAAUAAUUUCAGUAGCUUCUUUGAGUGCCCUUGUUAUUGUCAGAGUUUUCUUAGAAAAUACCCUAAUACAAUGCCAAUUUAAUGAUUGAACAUCUUUAAAUUGUUUAUAUCAUCCACAAGUUAUGCUGCUGAAAUUGUUGUUUGGUAAAGUAUAAAGAAAGCAGCUUUGUCUGUGCAGGCAUACACUGUUGAAAUCAUCUUUAGGGGCCCAAUCUACGUAAUAGAAUUGCUUGAAAUACAAAGAACAGGGUAAGCAGGGAAACUAGUUGCUGCAAUACUUCGAGAGAUUGACUUGUCAAUAAGGUUCAAGAAACUGAAUUAUCAGUAGUGUUACUAGAUGUUGAGGCACACCUAACAAAGCCAAAAAAUUCCACUAGUUAUAAUGGUCCAAAAAGGCAAGAACAAUCCUUGCUAAAUCCCAAUUCUUCUGUUGGAUAUACUCUUCCUAAAAGUAUUAUGCCACUUCUAAUUUAAUCCAGCAAGGGCUCCUUAUCUAGCUGACAAAAUACAAAGGGCAGGUUAACCAGGGGAGCUAGUUGCUGCAUUACCUUCAGAGAUGGAGUAGUCGCUAAGGUUCCAGAAACUGGAGAAUCAUUGGAACUGGAUACUCAGCCACACCUAACAAAGGCAGAAAUAUCCACUCAUCAUAAUGGUCCCAAAACUAUCCUAAAAUUGUUCUGUUGGACAUACUCUUUCUAAAAGUGUUAUGGGCAUUUUUAUCUUAUCCGGCUGCAGCUCCUUAUCUAGCCACAAAACACAAAGGACAAGAAAAGAUUCCACAUUACAUUAGCUCACAGCCUCACACUAUUCCAAGAGUCUGCCUGCAGUUUGUCAUUUUAUAAGCUAUUAGCAUCAUUUACUGCAUUUUGUAAAGCCAAUUGAACUCUAAAGAGAAAGAAGUUUUUGAAUGAAACUGUUUGGUUGAGUUCAAGAUUAUUAUAUUCUAGAAGAAAAAAAUUUAUAAUAUUGGCAAAUUUAAUCUCUACGUACAUUAAUGUGAUUACAUAUUAAUCUCUCUUGCUGCAAAUUUUACAUGCAAAACUGUGACAGCUGAUCCAUAAAAUUCCAUCCAAAAGGGCUACAGGGACCAAAUAUCUACCAUCCUCAGGACUGAAAUGACACAAAAUUAGCAAUCUCAUUUACCACUUCUAGUUCUAAAGCAGAAAAACUAGAACGAGACGAGGGAGUUCACAUUCGAUACUAAAACUCCAAAAAUGAAAUGGAUUGCAAAUGCAAAUUCAGCAAAAUCCCAUGGUUUACAAUUUUGCAUUAGAAAUUGGAUAACUUUUCUUUACACUCUCGAUAUAUAAUUUCCUUUACUUCAACAAAUUUAUAUUAUACCACAUAAUAUGAAUUCAAAUUUGAAAUUUAAAUUAUGCACAUGUGACAUAUAUCUGUAGUUACUAGUGUAAAAAAAUCACUAUACUGGUAAUGCACAAAAAGUUAAUCCUUAGAAAUUAAUGUGAAAUUUUUGUAGUAUAAAGGUCAAACAUUCGCGACUAGAAUUAGAACUAUUUAAAACAUGAGGGACUAAAUCUAUAAUAUCACAAAUGCAACACAUACAGUUUUACCUCUUUCUGUCUGUGGUUCUUGGACCACAACGUGAAGCUUUGGAUCAUCAGCAUUUUUCAUCCACUCAACACAAGAAUCACACCCACAAUCAGACCACCUGGUGCCAUUCCUCAUCUGCAAGAAUGAUUCACCAUUUCUCCAUCCUUUUGGAACCAAAGAAAUCCCAAGUGACCCCAAUAAGCCCCUAAAGAAAUUUCUCCUUCGAUGAAGCGUUUCAGACAGCUCACUCUCUCCAUCAACUUCUACUUGCGCAACAUGAUGACAAUCACCUGUCUUCUCCUUUUCCUCCAUUAAUUCCAUGCAGUAACAUGAAGAAUAGGCUUUUCCUUCCAGGAAUUCAUCCAACAAUCUAUAGAAAAUGCACAUGAAAACUUCAAGAAAAUCCAGGAACAAAAAUACCAUCCAACUUAUUGCUGCUAUAAUGAUUUCUAGACCCUUUUGAAUCCAUUUUCCAGAUUGAACUAGGGUGGCCAUUCUCCUCCUCUCACUGCGUGUGAGUGCGUGUGAUAAAAGGGAGGGAAGGGGUUGAGGUUUUUGGCUUUUUGGGAGAAGGAGGGAGAGUUGGCGUACGGUCAGAGGAAAAGUAGGCGUUGAACUCCUGGAAUCAGGAAAGCAGAUUCAUGUUAGACCACGUUGCAAUGCUUAAUACUGUGAAUUUUUGGUUGGUGUCAAAAUUUACAACAUAAAUUAGAAAAAAAGAUAAAAGAGCCGUUAUGUUUGUCCUUUUUCCUUUUUCUUUUCCUUUGUGUAUCUGUUUAAAUGUUAUACAGGUGAGAUUAAAUGUUUUUGCCAACACAAGGAAAGAGUGUUCCAAAUGUCCUUUUCUAAUCUUGACAAUCAAGAAAUCAUCUUUGAAGGGAAAAAAUAAGCAUAAAUUUGUGCUGCCUUUUGAAGUAAAGGUUUACUACUGAAAUUUCAAGAAAAUACUGCAUCGUACUGGUCAUUGUAUAACUGUUUCUCUCAUCCAACUUUAUGUGGUAUAGUCUUAUACUCCAUAAACACACUAUCAUGCAUGACAAAGUAGAUAGUUGUCUUUUCCUACCAUAAUAAUUAGUUGAAUUAGAUGCUAAAGUUUAGGAAAUAGCGACAAAUAUCGAUGCAACGGUUCUCAGCACUGGAACAUACGAGUGAAUUUAGAAUAUGGAUCCCAUCUUGUUUAGCUAUAUUCAUUAAUGAAGAGAUAAAUGAAUUUCCUCUCAACCGGGUCUUUAUCAGGUGUAUGUAGUUGGAGUAGAAUAACUGGAUUGGGCAAUGUUAUUUAUAUUUGAAUUUUCAUGCAUUUCAGGUUUUAAAAUUUCUCAAUAAUGGAAUAUCCUUAAAACCAGAUUUUAGUUGGAAACAGACAUCUCAAAAAAUACCCAUAUUCGAUAACAUAAAUAAUGAAUUUCUGCUCGUCUCUUAAUUUAAGUCUGUAGAAUUCAAGCAACAUAAAGUCUUUGAAAAACAUCACUUAAAGUCCAAGAUUAAAGUCCGCACCCUCUAUAACCAGGCAGACAUCUUAUGAAAAAGGUCAUUGGACCAGCGAAGAGCCAAUUCUCUGGAAAUGUAUCUCUCAUGUAUAGUUAAAAAGAGAGAAAAUAGUGUAUCCUAUCUUAUCUUGUAUUAAUUUCCUCUUUAAUAAAAGAAAAAUGUUCGUCAUAACUUUCACAUAUAUUCUAAGUCUUAGAUCAACGUUACAACUGGAAGUACAUGCCAAUUCAAGAUUUCUAAUUUCUAAAUUCCACAUAUAUUUUGGUGUUUCCUGAGAGCAGCAACAAGCACAUAUGGGCAGAAAGGAAAACUAGCCAAUCCCAAAAGGCAAAAUUGGGUAACUAUCGGUAGAACUUGCAAUUUCCUCUUUUUGCAAGGAUCAAGCAAGCAAGCAUGCCAUAAUGAACAGGGUAAAUGCUUCAACUAAGGACGAACAGUGUGCUUAAUUUCGUUCAUUUAGUGUCAUUAUCCUUUUUUACAGGGUCCGAGCUCACAGUUGGAAGGUUUCUUCUAUAUUGAGGAGAUGUCAACCUCCUCUCUAAUGGUGUCUUCCUCUUGCUCACUACAAACCUGUUUACCCCUUUCCUCAUGGGCAUUAUUGAUGGAAAGUCUUCAUCAGGUAUCUGGCUCAGCUCAGAAAUGUCCUUUAUCUGAGCGACACGCCGAAACCAUCUUUCUGUUUUGGCCUCUUCUGACAUGUCUAAAGGAUCUGGUUCCUUCACAGCUGAUCCCUCCAAGCUUUUCCCAGUCCAGCCAGCUCUAGCAUUCUGAUUAGACAACUGUGAUGAACCUCCAGCCAAAUUCGUUGUGUGCAAUGUAUUUUCUCCUCUAGAAUAUCCGCUGCCCAGAUUUUUAUUUGUUGUUAUCUCAGAACUGCUAGAAUAUCCGCUGCCCAGAUUUUUAUUUGUUGUUAUCUCAGAACUGCGGGUAUUGGGGUUUUGACUCGAGUUCCCAACCAGAACAGCGCCCUGGUCCCCUGAGACUUUUGGACUCCAGCCUCCAGAAGUUCUUACUUGACUCCCUGUUUCUUGUACAGCAUUCUCCUCAGAAAACUUAGGUCCUACUUCUUCCAAUUUCUGAGGAGAAUUCUUCGCUAUUGUGGAACUUGAUGAAGUUUCAGUCAACGGUUUUGUCGAUGAGUUUAUCUCAUCUGAUGUUGGCGUAUCAUUUCUUGCAAAGUAUCCAGGAGGAAAUGGAACAAAGGGUACAAACUGUGGAUUGCCUGCCUGCUCUGCAGCCACCUGUCUCUUGUAUGCUGGAGAAGUUAAAGAACGAUCUUUCUUCUUGCUAACCACAAAACGAUUUUCUCCUUUACGCAUUGGCAUAAGCUCUGGGAAGUCUUCAUCUGAAAUUGCACUUGGCAAGUCUUUAACGUUGUGCAGCUCCGCCACUCUCUGAAACCAUUUUUCUGACUUUUCAGCUUGCUCUUUGUUUUGGCUAUCAUUUUGAUUUUCCGGUUUGCUAAAGAUUUUAUCGUCACCCGACUUCCUAGCAACUGCAUCACUUUGAGGACUAUCCCCUGAUGAGACAAUAUCAGAAAUGUCUACAUGUUUGCCAACUUGUGACUUCAACUUCUGAUCUUGUUCAGAAAACACGUCUCGUGAUAACGACGUAGAAGGAACAUAACUGGAAUUGCUCUGCUGACAUUGUUGGUAUUCCAUAGGAGUAGACAAAGGAAGCGAGGCAGAAGAAUUAGUUUCAAGAUUCUCUUCAGUCGCAAUACUCUGGUCAGCCAUUCUAGAAACAGGGGAUGAGUGACCAAGAAUCUGGUCCAAACUCUUCCUGAUUGAUGAGUCCAGGGCCAUGUUACCGCCAGGAGAUUGAGAAGCAUUACCUUCUGCAAUCCCAUGAUUACCCAAAAGGUUUUGACGUUGAGAGUUGGCCUGUCUUCUCUCUAAAGGAGUCUUCCUUGUGCUUACAACAAAUCUAUUUUCUCCUUUUCUAGGGGGCAUGAUUUCUGGAAAAUCUUCAUCAACAGCCACAUUGCUCAAAUCAGAGGCAUUUUCCAGCUCAGAAACCUUAUUAAACCAGCGUUUUGCCUUCUCUUCACUCUCCUCUAAUCUGAUGUCCAUGUGUCCCAACUCCGACAUGGAGUGUACGUUAUUAGCUGCAGCUAUCCUAGGUCUUUUGCAGUCGCAUCGCAAGCAUACCAAAUUCCUUCCGUAAUUAAAGAAAUUGCACCUGAAAUAGAAAAAUACAUAUUGAUGUUCUCAACGUGCACAGUGCAAUAACAUCCAUACAUUCCAGUUAUAGGAAUGAAUGCUCACUGAGGACAUUGCCAUUCCUUGCCAGUCAAUUGCUUCUUUGGCCUAGGUUCCUCGCAUUCAAGACAUUCAAAGUUUCUUGCAAAGUUCAUGAAACUGCACCUGCAAAGCAUACAGUACCAGGAUAAUAUUACCUCAUGAAGGAAUCUUAUGAUGAAUACUAGGUAAAUACGAUUAGUUUAGACAUGCAUUCAAAAUUUCAUAGAGAAAGGGUCUUGAAAAGACAAAAUACCCAUACACACAUCGAUCAGGAAACUAGCUGGAGGAAAAAAAAAAGAACUACUGAAGAAAGAAACGAAAACGUAGAGUGAAGAGAAAAUCUAGAAGUUACGGAAUAUUUUCUCCUAACAUUUACUCAGUUACACAAAAAUGAGAUAUAUCAAGGCAGUGUUCUGUCUUUGUUAGAAAGAAAAUACAAGGAAACUCAUUUCACUUCCAUUACUUUUAACAACGCUAGAUCCACAAACUAGUCAACAAAAACUAGGGUUAAAGCAGAAUAUCCAAUCACAUUAUUUAGUUCUCCACAUAGAUAAAUCACAAUUAAUGGGUCAAAGGAACAGAGUAAUCGACUAUGCAGAUAGAAGUAAAGAAAUAAGAGCAAAAUUAACUUAUUUUUACUUUGGGCAUAUCCAGUCACCCCUCUUCAUUUCAACAUUUUGUCUCAGAGGCCUUGCAGUUUGUUCAUUUCCACCAUGCAAUUGGUAUUGUUCUGAAGCAGGAACUUCAAUUGCAGGGUCUGCAAAACUCAAUUCAGUCAUCUGGGAAAGCAGAUUCCUAACAGAUGAUUCAAUUAGUUCUCUGCUGUAGAGAUUGUUCUCUUCUGAUGAAACAGAGGGAUUGCUUGCAUAACUCAAUAUAUAUUUCAUAAUGUCAACCAUGUUUGGCUUAUCAGACUCCAACACCUGAAAAGUCAUAUGCACUGAGGAUUCAACAAAUAACUCUAACAGGGGGAAAAGAGCAACAGAAUAAGGAGCAAUAUUAAUCUAACCACCAAAUGCCAAAUGAUAGCUACACUAACCAUUUAUUCCUGCAAGUAAGAAUAACUAUUCAUUGUACAGUAUACUAUUUAACUCCCGAAAACCAAAUACUCAGUUGCCUGGAAGUUUAUUCUCAGAUUGGAUUGAGUUUUUGGAAACAAAUUUUCAAGAGAUUCUUUUAACACGUUCUCGAAUCCCCUUAUAGUAAAAUUUAUCCAAAAACUCUCCCAAAAAAUACAAUCCAGCAGAGCCCUAUUGUUCAAAAAAACCAACAGAGAUUAAUCCCUACGACUUCUAUAUUAAUCCCUACCACACCGUAAGAGGAAGUUCCAAAACUCGAAAGUCCCCAUAAGGGGCAAUUCCAGUUCAAAUGCAGUUCCAUAACCGGGGCAAUGCAUGUUCAUGGUGGUGUAUAUACUUGGACCACUUACGAGAACAUUUAACCGGCUCAUAUAUUACACAUUUUCACAAGGAACAAGAGGAACUUAAACAUCAACACCAAGUUUAUCAUAUUGCACAAAUUUUAGAAUCAACUCACAUUGCUUCCUUCGAUACCCAAAUACACCCUCAUUUUCCUGGCAGUAUCAAGAGCAGAUUUAAAUAGAAAUGGUGUCCCAUUUGAUACAAUCACUUCAAUAUCCUUCCUGGACAACAACCUGCAAAUCUUGUUCUUAUCACUAAAACUGAUAAUACGAGGAAAACGAACAAUUAAAAUUUACCAAAAAUGGAAAAUGAAAUAAUAACAAACCCUAGAAGAUUGGGGUGUGCCCGGGAGAAAGCUAAGCAAAGAGAAGCACAACGAAUAAAUUCUUCGGAUAAUUCCUUCAGUUCAUAAACCACGAAGGCGUCUUCAGGGUGUACUUUCUGGUCAUCAGCUCCAGGGGAUAGCUUCUCCUGGGAGAAAAAGAGUUUAUUAAUUAAAUUGGACCACUCCGGCCACAGGUGGUUGGAGGCGGCAGAGGCAGCCUUAUAAGGCGAAAUGGAGGGGGCAUUGAGGGGUUGGGCGUGGAGCUGCCGGCUGCAGGAUUUUGUUGUGGGGAGGAGAAGGCGGCGCUGUGUGUGGCUGUAGGGAGAAGAAAGAGUGAGGCGGCGACUGGUGGUGGAGGUGGAGAGGCAGCGGGUGAUGGGACGGAGGAAAAUAAGGGAGGGUUGGUGGAGGAAAGGAGGGAACGGAGUGGUAAGAAGCAUUAUCAACCUCGAAGUGCCGCCCAUCACGGCGGAGGCUGCGGUGGUGGGGGUUUUCUUAGGUGAGUGUGUGAGGUGAGACAGCGGAAAGACUAAAGCUAAAACCCUCUAGAGGGUACUCUUUGGCCAUUAUACAGAGUCUGUACUCUGUUGCCUAGGCUAUACGGAUAUUUUUUUGUUCAGGCCAAUGACAAUGGCCUCCACUAACGUUUGCUGAUAUUGGGAUUACCUCCCAAAUAGUUGGGCAAUGAGCCCGGAUGGGCCAGAUCCUUAGGAAUGGCAAAUGGGGCUGGGUGGGGGUAAGGGAGCCCUGCCCGGCCUGCUUUCUCCGGGGAUAAUAAAAAUUUGUCCUAUAAUUAUAUUGCAACUAAAUUUUAGCCAAGAAUCAAGUAUUUUUAAAUAUCAACACAUCAUCAAAUCAUUAUUCAUUAUAAUUUCAUAAUUGAAAUUCAUAAAAACAAUCAAACAAAGUUAUUUGAAUGCAACCCAACAUGAUGAGACAAAUACAGUUAAAGUAGUCAAGUUUUCACUUUUAAGACAAAUACAAUCACCAAGUCAUUAUUGUUCUUUUUUUUUAAGAAAAACAGUAAUAUUGUGUUAAGUGUAAUUAGAAAUUUAGUAUAAAUGUAUUAAUAAAUUUAACAUAACUAAAUUAAUAAUUUUUAUUAGUAGACAUGUAUAAUUAUUAGUAUAAUUAAUUAUAUUAAUUAUAUUAUAUGUACUAUUAUACAUUAUAUAAUACUUAUAAUAUCAUUAUUAUAAGUUUGUAACUAAUUAUAUUAUUAUAUAAGUUUGUAACGAAUUAAAUUAAAUAUUAUACAUAUAAUUUUUUUUAACGAGUGCCAGGGUGAGGAAUGGGCAAAGGUAUACUCCCCCGCUUCCCACCCAACCCCACCCUUAGCUCUAUUAGUCCCUCGCAGGCACCCGUCCCAAUUGCCAUCUCUACGGAUUCCCACAAAGGUGUGUCUUCAUCAUUGCCUGAACUUUCAUUGUCUUGCAUAACGUUACUAGCAAUUUUUUGAUCUACUUAUGUAAGGUUCACCGGCAAUUUUUUGGUUCAUGAAUCAUCUUAUGUGCAUUUAUAUUUUAACUUAAAAAAUUUAGAUCCCAAAAAUUGCCGGUAACGAUUAUGGAAAACAAUAUCGAUUAAGAUAAUAAUUGUAGACAUUAUAGUAGGUUUUGUCCACCAUCAUAUUUUUUAAACUUAUCUAAAUCCUAAUCCACCAUACAAAAAGUCUAAAUGGAUGACCUUUGAAUAUUAUCCUACGAAAGUAUAUUAUACCCCAACCUCACAUCGAAAAGUUAAGAGUUGCAAGAUUAAGAUUUAAAUAAUAAUUUUAACACUCAAGUACAACUUGAAAUAUCUAUUUUACGGAUAUCUAUUAUUGGGUAGGGAGAGCAUAAACUAAAUAAUUGGACUUGGUUGUUGGCUUAGGGGAUCAAAACAUGACAUUAUGUUGGGCCAGUGCCUUGAUUGUGAGGUACCAUAAAUAUAGGCUAGAGUCCUAAUUAUUAUUAAGCUUUUAUGAUGACAAUUUGGGCUAGUGUCUGGAUUAUGAUGCAAUGUAAAUUUGGCCACUGUCCAAAUUAUUAUUAGGCUUUACUAUGAGACAAAAGUUUUAAUGGGGGGUGAAUGUAAUACUCCAAUCCUACAUCGAAUUUAGGACGAUUUGAUAACUUAAUUCAAUAUUUAAAUUUAAGGGCAAAUUCACUAGUGACCCUUAAACUAUUAUGAAAUUCAAAUUUUCAACUGACAAGCUUUAACCCUCCGAUUAGUUAAAAUGUGUAAUUCUAGUCCUUCUAUCAACUUGAGUCAUUAUGUCAACUUGAGCUAUAGGAUUCGUGAUUCCCCAAUGGGCCCCAAACUAUUAUAAAUUCAACUUUUGGCUCUUCAACUAUUAACUGAAGAGUUUUAACCAUCCAAAUAAUUAAAACAUAUAAUUCUAACUUUUUCAUCAAUGUAAGUCAUUAUGUCAAAUAAAAACACCUCCAUGUGCACAAUAGAGGGGCACAAUCGAUGGGCGUUUUCAUCUUCAUAGGACAUGCUCAUUAGAUUCAGGCAUGUCUUGCAUUAUUUUACCUUUUUGCCUUUCCAAGUGAUAGGGCCUAUCUAGAUUAUUGGGAAUUUGGAUUUACCUAUGAUGGUUUGGUCCAUUCAUAAGUCAUAGCACUCAUUUGACUGUGCUGUGAUUAAAUCAAUUUCAUUCUCAAUUAAAGUGUUGGCUUAGAGGUAUAGAUGAUUUGAUGGUUGCUUAUUUUACCUAUAUAUAGUAAAUAUUGACUCCUUUUUUAAAACAUCCACUAAAGGUGUACUAUUUUUUUUAAUCACAGGUUAAAUAUGUGUUUCUAUCUAUUUAAAAAGGAUAUUGACUCCUUUUUUAAGCAUCGAGUAGAUUGGUAUUACUUACUUCUUAUUUAUUUUCUAUAAGAAAGUGUACAAAUAUUAUUUUCAUUUCAAAUAGUAGGGAUAGAACUGUCUAAAUUGUUUUCAAAGAAAAUUUGUAGCCAUUGAACGAAGAAAUUACAAGCUUGGUUUUUUGCUUGUUUUUUCUGCAUUUUUACUUUUGUUCAUGAUGCUGUCUAUUAUUCUAUGAUUCAUUUACAUGCUUUAUGUUUUUGUUCCUUUUCUUUUUAUUAGUAUCAUUUUUGCUCUUUUCAUUCUAAUCUCUCUAUUGUCUGUUACUCUUAUUGCUAGUAAGAAGACAACUUUUCUCUUUUCCCCUCUAUUUUUUAUACUACUGUAUAACUUUAUUUGAACUUAAAGGAUCAAUAUUCUAUAUACUGAUAGUGUAAACAUUUUCACUAUUAAAUGCAUAAUACAUAAUCUGAAUUUGAAUUUGAAAUUCAAAUUUUAUGUAUGUGUCAUGCAUCCAACUGUGAUAGUGUACACACUAUCAAUAUAUAUAAAAUUACCUCUUAUUUAAAUUGUAUGAAGUUUUAACUUGUGGUUUUACCGGCUAAUUUCUCAUAGUAUACCCAAAAAAAAAGUCCGUCAAAUAUAUGUCUACAGACCCAUUGUACAAAUCUAUACCUACCGUGUCCAGUCAGCACGGUAGGGAAUUUUUUUAAUCGCUGCACCCAGAAAAUCGAGCCUGCUACUGUGCACAAUCAGCACGGUAGCAGGCAGCAUUUUAAAAAAAAGGGUGGCCUUUUCUGGGAGCAUAUGCAGGAAGGUAAUGAAAAUCCACAGGAUACUAAUGCAUCUUCCUAUAUGUUCUUUUUCGCUUUUUUUUUUUGAAUAUUAAUUGCGGCUGGUGAAUAAAUAUGUCGGUUCUUAUUUGAUCUUUUAAUAUCAUGCUGAGGAUUUUUUGUGGUUCACUCCAAGUAUGAGACUUUUUGGCCAUUAGAUUGUGCAGGCGCUAGAACAAAAUGACAAAAAUGUGAACAUCUUGGUGCAAUGUGCUCUUUUGUACGACAGCAUUGAGAAGUACAAGUUGGGAGCUGAAGACCUCAGACCUUUUUCAUUUGACCGCCUACUUGCUACCAUGCUGAUUGUGCACAGUAACAGGCUCGAUUUAAAAAAAAAUUUUCAGGCUGCCGUGCACAGUCAGCACGGUAGCCUGCAACCAUUAAAAAAAAAUUUCCUGCUGUGCUGACUGGACACGACAGGUAUAGUUUUGUACAAGAAGUCUGUCAGACAUACAUUUGACGGACCUUAUUUUUUGGGUAUAUUCUGAGAAAUUAACCAAUUUUACCUUUGUCAUUUAGGUUGUUGUUUGUUGUUUUGAUAGUUAUUUGUUGCAGUUGGCUCUCUUUUUCUAGGUUAGUUUCCGUCUAUCUAAUCUAUAACUUUUUACCAUCUACAUGCUUUAUUUACAUUAUAUAUAAUGGAGAAUCUAUGGUUUCAAUUUGGAGAAUUUUUAGUUGUACGUGAUGUUCUCUAUGUGUUUGAUCAUUGGUUUAAUCUUUUCAUAUGUAAUGCAAAUAAUUUUUAAUGUACGCUUGUAACUAUGUAUAGAUGUAGUUUAGAUUAUUUGCGUGCUUUUAAACAUAUACUUUGUCAACUAUUAAAAAGUUGACAUGGAGGAUCCAAUGAGAAUUAGUCAUAUCAAAGAGAUAGGGAGAGAUAUGCAAGCAUGUUUACUGAGAAAAAAAAAACUGAUGUUAGUAAGAAGGACAAAAGCCUAUCAUAAGAAAAAAAAUCAAGGUUGAUCACAACCACCAUUGAUAUUUUUUUUUUUGGAAAGCAAUGUGGUAUUAACAGAGGUAUUCUAAUUUUAUCAAUGAUUUAUCAGCCUAUGCUCAAUGAAGAAAAACUCAAAAAACAAUUUCUAAAUUCUCUAUUUAUGAAAAGGUUUAAGGAUUUGCAAGUUUUCCUUUUCUACUCUUUCUUUGGAUAUGAUUUUUCUAUUUGUCUACUUAUUAGAAUGGUUAUGUUUUUCUGUAGGUUAUUCUUUGAAGACCAACUGUGUUAACCAUUAUAACCAGUAAGAUAAGCCUCUGAAUCCUAGUUUUAGUGAGAUAAAUAUAUUAAGAUGUUUUAGGCUAUACUUAUUUUUCACAGCCAUGUCUUUAUGAUUCACUAAUUACCCUUUUCAUAUAAAUCAACUUCCAAUCUAUGUUUAGUGCUAAAAAUUUCUUAUCAAGAGUUUGGAAGAUGUGGCAGGUUUAAGUUAAAACACAAAUUUUAAUUAAUUUGAUACCAUAUUAUUAUUCAAUUUUUAGAACAAACAAGAUGACCACGUUAUACUUUUUCAACUAGAUUAUUAUUAUGAAUUUUCAAAUAGCCUGAAUCGUGCUCUCUUUCUUAGGCAUCUAAAACAAGAAGAGGGUACACAAAUUUAAUUUACAUGAACCCAUUUUCGUUUUAAAAGAAAUUACAAAAAAGUAGAAUAUGCUCACUAUUAAUUAUCAACCACAUGUGUCAACUAAAAGUUCUUCACACCGAUGGUAUAACAAAAGACCCAAUUGAGAACAUUUAAAGAAACAAGAUGAUCUUUGAAUAUUUUCUUCUAUACAGUUCAAAAUAUAUAGAAUAACAAGUAGGGUAAUUAUCUCUUUCGUUAUGCAACAUUCUUGUUAGGUGCGUGUAUAAAAAAAAUCCCUAAAUUUAUUUUCAUGUAUAAGUGAACAAGAAGAUUGCAGCAUAAGUUUUGUUGUCUGAAACAAAAGACAAAAAACUUGUAUGAAUAUCAAACACAUUAAAUUAGAAAACAAAAGGGCAAUCUGUGAAAAUUUUUGAAUCAAUGAAAUUAAUUGCCUAAUUCUUCUUUUCAAAUGACUUCAAUCGAAGGGUCAAAAAGACUUGUUCUCUGAUCAAAGGGAUGCUUGAUGAUGGUAUUGAAUACUUAAACCUUCAAUCUGUCAACACGAAGGGAAGGAGGAUUUGUUUGACUUGAUUUGGAUUUGAAAAAAAAAAAUAUCUUGAGAGUAUUUGACAGAGUUUCUUCGAAAUUUAGGAAUUUCAAUGUAUCUUUGCUUUGAAGAAAUACCUCUAUUUAUAUCCAAAAUAUGUAUGUUAGAUGUUCAAGAAAAUCCUCCAGAAUCUUCUUGCAUUUGGGUGACUUGUAACUCAAGAAACCCAUUUAAUUUGAAAUUUUAUAGUAGGUCAGUCCAAAUAGUCCAUUGUGAAUUAAUAAAUCAAUUAACCUACUUCAGUUUAAAUGGACAUUAUGAAUUUGAUUUGAUUUAAUAACCCAUAUAAUAUUGACCCAAUUCGCUAGCCUAAAACAUAAUGGACUUCCAUAAUUUAAUUUAAUUUAAUCAAGAUCAAUUCAAUUUAUUUAAUCUUGACUAAAUAAAUUAAAUAAAAUUUCUUUGUUUACAAAGAUGAACUACCAAAAAUACCAAACUAUCAUUUUUGUCAUGCUAAGAAAUUCCAUUGAGUAUCCAACUUUUGCUAUUCUGACGGAGAGGUUUUGCCAAAAGAAAAUUAAUUACUUUAUAUAUUGGUUCAGUUAUAUAUUGGGAAUACUAAGAAAUCUAUCUCUUUUCAAAUGUAUGUGUGGAUAUACAAUAGCUUAUUUGCUUUUACCUCUUUUGAUUUUGCAUAUGAUAAGAAUCUAUGCAAAAGAAACAAAGGAAUAUAUACUUUCGAAGUUCAGGGUUAGACAUAAUCAUUUUAUUAAUGAAUUAAUCUCCUAUAGAAACAAUAGAUUAUAUCUCAGCUAUAUUCCCAAGAUACUGAACAAGAACUAUAAAAUAGAAUGGUUUUUCUCAAACAAAUUGGCUGAAUCGAUUGUUUUGAAGUUGAUAAAAGUGAUGGAAGAUAAUUCAUACAUCAUUUUUUUACAAAAGCUUGAGGAUUUUUUUUUUUUAAUUUUAACUUCUGCUAGAUUGUGUUAAGAACUAAUUGUUCGAGUGAUCAAAGAUUAUUCAUUAAAUCAACUCACAAAUUGUAAUUCUAUGGAUCAAAAGGGAUAAUAUUCAGCAAGGCUACUCAAAGUUUAUCCUAAGCAGGGUCAUAGCAAGCGCUUUUAGUAUUAUUAUAGCUGCUAUAAUUCAUUCUAGUAUCCAUUAUUGUGUGCAUUCAGCAAAAUUGGCUAGCGUAUUGGAACUAGAAGAUCUAAAAAAGGAAAUCCAAAAAGAAAAAAAAAAGAAAUUCAGUAAACAACUGCAUUAGUGUACAUCUCAGAAAACUAAAAUCAUCUCAGCAGAUUAUUGACAAUGUUCAACAAGGUAUUUUUUUGGGCCACCUACUUUGAAGAUGUAUUUAGUUGAUACUCCAUUAUGUAUAAUAGGUUGGUUAUUAUGGCAUUUUAUUUUAUUUAUUAAUCUACUCCCUCCGUCCCACUUUGAUAGUCCUGUAUUCCUUUUUCAUCUGUCCCAAAUUGUAGUCCACUUUCCAAUUGAAGAAUGUAGUUGUAUUUUAAUUUUCCUAAAAUACCCUUAUUCAAUGUAAGUAGUUGUUACUAUAAACCUACCCCAUUUAAUGAGAGUUGAUUCUUUUUUUACCAUCAAUUCAAGUUCCCAUAAAGUUGUACCAUAUUUAAUGUGAGGGUAUUUUAGGAAAAUAGUAAUCUAAAUUUACUUUUCCAACAAAGUUAACUACUUUUUCUUAAACUGUGUGAAAAAAGAAACAGGACUAUCAAAGUGGGACGGAGGAAGUACUAUUUUCCCUUGCAGUUAUACACUAAUCAAAGCAUUCAAAAAAAUUCAUUUUUAUAUGGGAAUACUAAAUGUGCCUUGAUAAUAUGCUACACGUGCUUAAUACGAGUCGAGAAUUUUUAUAAUAUGCGAUUGACAUGUAUGUAAAAAUUGAGAGAUAGAGAUUAUAAUUUUUUGGAAGUAAUUGAAAAAUGAUUGGGACCGAAUAUUUAUGGGAUAUAAUGGACCGUGUUGUUCAAGGUAAAUAUAGAGAUUCAUAGGUUGACCAAAGAGUCGUGCUUCCUAUAAUAUUCAUCGAAGGACCUUGUGACAUGAAAAGAAGAUACAUUGAUGUUAUGGCCUUGGUAUAAAGAUUUGGAAAACCAAAUCAUUCUUUAACAAUGACAUGUAAUAGCUCAUGUAAAGAAAUAAAAGAGAAUUUUUUUCCAAAUGAUUUGAUAGUUAAUAGAUAUGAUUUACAUGCUUGAUUCUUUCAUGCAAAACUCAAUGCUUUGAAAGAUGAAUUGUUAAAAAAAAAAGUUUUUUGGAGAAAUAGCUAUCUACUCAUAUGUCGUUGAUUUCAGAAAUGAAGCCUCCCACACGCAUAUUGUCAGAUCAUAUUAAAGCCAAAUUCAAUAUUGUCCUCUAUAGAUUCAUAUGAUCAGAUUGUAUCUGCUGAGUUACUAGAAAAAGACAAAUACUCUCAUUUGAACACAGUGAUUUGAAUGCACAUGAUGCAUGGCCCUUGUGGUGAUAAGAAGUCUGAUAAUGUAUGCAUGCGAAUGAAAAAUGUAAGAAUAAGUACCCAAAGAAAUUUACGUAAGAAGCAACUCAUAUAAUAAAUGGUUAUCUAAGAUAUACGAGAAGAAAUGAUGGCAAGUAUAUGGUCAUUCGUGGUAGUAAAUUAGAUAACAGAUAGGUUAUUUCAGUGAUGCCUAUUUGUUAGCUAAACUCAAUUGCCAUAUAAAUGUGAAAAUAUGGUCGACCAUAAAGGUUGUCAAAUAUUUGUUUAAGUACAUGUAUGGAGGAUAUUAUAGAAUCAAUUUUAACUGAGUUUAGAUGACACUUCCAUAGGUGUAGACAAAAUAAAAUAGUUUGAGUCAGUGAGAUGGAUAUAACAGUUAAAGUAAUAUGGAGAAUAUACAGAUUCUCACUAUAUAAAAUGAACCUAUCUAUCAUCCAACUACUGCUUCAUCUUAAAAACUUUCAAUUUUUAAUAAGAAUGCUAAUUUGAAAAAUAUUUUUAAAAAUGGGGCUAAAAAGGGCAUGAUGCUUUUAGAAUUCUUUCAAAUGAAUGCCAUUGAUAAUGAAGUUAAGGAUAUAAAUUAUCUUUACAGAGAACUUCUAGAACAUUAUGUUUGGAUUGCAAAACAUCGAAUAUGGAAAAAGAGAAUCCAAAAAGAUGGUAUAGGCAGAAUAGUCUCAACAAAUUUGAGUGAAGGCAAAAAAUACUUUUUGCAAUUAUUACUUCAUAAUGUAAGAGUUCUCAAGUCUUUUGAUAAUCUCAAAACAAUUAAUAUUAUUUAUGCUAGGGCAUUUCGUAAAAUAGUAAUGCUCAGAUGAUUAUUUGAGACUAAUAAUCUACAAGAAAAAUGUCUUGAAUAAGCAUCUAUUUAUGGUAUCUCACAUGGCUUGCUUAAACUAUUUAUUAUACUAUUGGUUUUUUUUUUAAUCAGUCAAUGCAAAAUAAUUAUGGUAAAAAUUUAAAUCUUCUUUGUCUAAAGAUUUUCAAAGAAUUGUGGGAUUAUCAAUGAACAAGUGAGAUGCAAAGUUUUGCGGCAUAUCAAUAAUAUUAUGGAGUCUACAAAAAAAUAUAUAUAUAUCCCUUCGUCCCAAAAAGUUUAUUGCUUUUCGAAAAUGCAACUUUUUAUUGAUAUUUAGGAGAUAUGACCUUUGUUUCCAAAAAUAUCCCUACCUAAUUGGCCCACGUUAAAAGCAUAUUUCUAUUAUGUUGCCAAAAUGAUAUUAACAAAAAUAUUUGGGCUCGCACUAACAAUUUAGGGUUUUAGCUUUGUUAUUGUUGGAUAUGAUACGUGCUGUGUUUCCCAUGCUCCAAUACUUGCAUGUAAUAUGCUUACAAUGAUUAUUCUUGGGUCCAUUUUACAGGAAGAGUAUAAGUUGGAAACAAGUGAAAAAUUACAUUACUAAUUAUGGUAAGUGACAUUCAUUUUGGAAGAAAUCAAAUAGAAAACAAAACAGUUUCAAUGGCACGAAGGGAGUAACAGUUUUGGAGAGAAUAAAAUUCUAGCACUUUGUCUAUUGCAUCUAUAUACUAGAAUGCUAAAAUGCAUAUUGCUACCUUUGUUUAGCAGAACAUAUUCCAUGAAUCAUUUGAGCACUCAAGCUAUGAAGUAUGUUUGCUAUUAAAAAUGCAUGAAAUAUAGUCUUUAAAUUUCUACUAUCCAUUUCAGCAAUAUGCACUAUAAGAUCUAUAUAAGUCUAUUCUAAUUAUCUAUGAUUUAUGGAGUAUUUUUAUUACCUUAUAUUUCUUCUCAUAAUUAUUACAAUCAGUUGUCUAUAUAGCUCUUAUAAGAAUAGUUAAAACUGUAUCUUAUGCUAUUCCUUUUCAUAGCCUGCAACUAAACUAAAAAUAAAGAAAAUAUUACUCCAAUAUCUCAUGUACAUAUCUAUUAUAUCAGUCAAAUAAGAUUUGAACAACUAAAUUUGAGAACAAGUACAUAUAUCUCAUUAUAUCUUUCUCAACAAAAUCAAGAUGAUACAUUUUUGUUGUACACUUUAUCACUGUUUGAUAAAAUUGAAUCCAUCUUUAACCAUUAGAUCUUACCAAAUCUCUGCAGCAAAGACAUAAAUUUUCUACAAAAAAAAAAUCUUUUAUCUAUUUUUUGGACAAGUCAACCAUUAAAGGAACUUCUUAGAAGGAAAAAGUUAAGAACAAUAACACGUAUCUUCUAUUACCUACUAUUUUUUUUCUUCUUUUAUGUCAAUAAAAUGUCGUUCUAUAUUGUCGCGUUAACUUCCCAACUUCAAAUACAUGCCUUUCUUCAAUAAGAAGUUUCACAUGAGCAAACCUAUGCAAAAUAGUCAACAAAAAAAAAAGCAAAUAGCUAAGAACGCUACUAGGUAUUCUAUUAUUCAUACUAGAAAAAAUAAACUUUCAUACCAUAAUUAACAAAAUACACACACACAUACAUACAUACACAUAUAUAUAUAUAUAACAGAAAAUUGUAAGAAAAAUGCAUAAAAAACUAGUAGUUCCAUUAUUUUAGAUAAUAAAUUUUGUUCGCAUCAAAUUAGAUGCAUUUAUUACAUCUAGGCUUGUCAAUGGGUUAGAUCUUACCUAUAUCCAAUUUAGACCAAAUAUAUUUGAGUAGGUUUGGAUUUAAUUUUUCAAACCCUGAUUCUACCUAAAUCCAGACCCUAUAAGAGAGUCAUGGAUUUAGAGGUUAUGAUUUAUAUACAAAUUUAGAUCCAUACUAACCCUAUCUAGGCCCAUGUAUAUAUAAUAAUAUAUAUGUAUAUGUAUGUAUAUAUAUUAGUAAAUUUAUAAGAUAAUCUAAUAUUCUAUGGCCAUUGUAUCGAAUACAGUAAGACUUCAUAAUUGUUUUUUUUUUUUUCAAACUAACUCUAGUUAUCAUUAUAAGUGGUACAAACUUUUUCAGGAAAAGGAUAAAAAGUAAGGGCAAACGAAUGAAAGAUUGAGCGUGAAUACAGUUGAAAUUUUGAAAUAAAUAGUAGUCUUCUUUUGAGUUCAUAAUAUUAAUUCAACUUCUUGAAUACUGAUUUUAUAUUUGAAAAUAAAAAUUGGAUGGUAUUUAAAUUAUUUUUUAAAUCUAUAUAUUUUUAAUAUAUUUUUACUUUAGUAUGCUCGGAAAAAUAUAAUGGAUACUUAUUAGAUACCUAGAUCCAUGAAAGUCUGAGUUUGGACCUACUUUUUCAUACCCAUAAAGGUGUGGGUCUGGAUUUGAAUUUAACUAAAUUUAAUAGGUCUGGAUCUGAAUCAAAGGUAUCCAAUCCAAACCCUAUCCAUUGAUAUACUUAUUUCAUUACUAUCAAUAUAGUAUGCGUAUUCUUUUAAUUUUUAUAAGUCAACUAAAUGACCAUAUUUACUAAAUAUAAACAAGACUUUCAGGUCUCUAUAUGCUGAAAUCGAAUUACAAAACACUUAUUUAGUUUCUAUUUCAACAUUCUCAUAAACUUUAAUAACUAAAAUUUUUAUUAUGAAAUAUUCAUACACUAUUAGCACAAGGUCAUAUAAAAAAUCAAACAUGCUAUUUUGAUAUGAUUUGAGAAAAAAUCUAACAUAUAUUGUCAUUAUGAAUUGAAAUAUCAUUUCUCUUCAAUAAACAUGGCAGCCAAAAAUUAGCCAAAAGUCAUACAAGUUCAAUCUCAAAGUUCCUUGACAUUAAUGCUUUCAACAAUAACCGAUCAUAGUUUCAUAGAGAAAUCUUAUGCAUAAUGAUAGCAUUAGAUUUUCUGACACAUAUAUUAUUCUAAUUGCUAUAUCUUUAAAUUUAUAUCACAAGGCAAUAACACUAUCAUUUUUUGGCUACUCCCUCUUACCAUGUAGGAUCUUUCUUCUGCCUAUAUAUAUAUAUAUAUAUAUAUAUAUAUAUAUUCAAGAUAUCUGUCUCAUUUUGUAUGACUCUUCCUCAGUCUCCACAACUCUUCCUUCUAAGUUUAUUACAAAAAAAAAGGGUUUCUCUCAAUCUAUUCUUCACAAUAAUAUCUUGAAUCUUGGUUUCUUUAUUAGCUUCAUAUUUUUUUUAUUAAUAUCUUAACAAAUACCAAUGACAACCAGAAAUUUUGACUUAACUAAUAUCAAUUGUUGUUACAAUUUUUCAAGUAAUAGAAGUGACAUAUCCUAACACAAAUUAGAGAACCAAAUGGAAGAAGAUAUUGUAGGUACAUACUAAAUAAUUUAGAGGUAAAAUUUCAAACAGAAACAACUCUGUUCUUUCGUAUCUUCUAUAUGUGAUAUGCUUGUAUUCAUGAAAUUAGACUUGAACAAAUAAGCUUAUACAGGAAGUUAAAAUGCAAGCACUCGUCUUUGGAAAUGAUAUUCCACGUGUGGAUGGUCUCUUGCUACCAUUUAAGAAGUACUAUCACAAAUGCAAUAUGUCGUGUGAACCAUCAAGUAUCUAUAGCAGGAUACUAACCUUACGACUGGAUUCUCACCAACACAACUCACAAUCAAGAAAUCAAUGAGUUUAUGGAUUCAACCAUUCCACCUCAUUUUCCUUAGGACGAUAGCUUUUCUCAUAUGCAAAUUUGUGUAGAUACUGAAAGAUAUAUAAGUAUUCUAACUAUAAUUUAUUUAUUAAAUACAAUAUUACCUUAACUAUCAACUCAGCCUAACAUCCUUUUAUCAUAGUCAUACUAGGGAUAAUCAUUUUCUCUUUGCUGGUUAGAGAUAUACAAGUUCAACAACAGAGAAUCCUAGCGAAGAGUAUGACAUCAUCAACAAAAAAUAACUAAAAUUAGAUUAGAAAACUUAGCAUUUCACUCAAGCACGUGUUUAUCCACUAUUAACUAUAAUAUUUUCUAAUUUAUUAGGAAAAAAUCAGUUCUUCUCAUACUAUACAACGAAUUUAGAUGAGUGAGGAGGCACUCAUUACAACAAAUGAAGAGCCAUCAAUCGUCUUAGUUGUUAGGUUGAAAGCUAGCACUAAAAUUGUGAGAAUUUUAAUAUCUGUUCUUAACUGUAAAAUAUAAAUUUGAUAAAAAAAAAAAGAUUCAGUAUUAACGAUUGUUUCUUGCUUAGAUCUCUCUUUGGCAACAUAAAUAUUUUCCAUUAUUAUGGUUAAUCCCCGUAUCAGUAAGGUAAUGGAGUUUAAUCACUAGUAUAUAUGCAAAACUACUUAUCUUUGACGUUAAAAUCAUAAAAAAUACAACACUUAUAAUUAAUAACCUAUACAAUUAAAUAUUUGCAAAUUUCACAAUAAUAUAACAGAGUUGGUUACAUUGUCAAUCCAUGAGCUCUCCUUCCAUUAGUCAAUGGCAAUGCAAUAACCCAAAUUCGAAGAGCUAUUGAACUUGUAGGAUUUGUAAGAAUUUCACAAUUUAAAAUUAUAAUAAACCCUUGACUAUGAUUCUAUAAAUAAUAAUUUUAUACUCAUUAUCCUCAUAUUAACAGAAGAAAACAACUUGGAUUAAAGAAAUAGUUCAAAUUAACUAUCCAUAGAUAUAAUUUUGGUAUUCAACUUGUCCUAAUUGCUAUGAAACUAAUGACUUUAUAAGAAUUUGGGAAUAACAUGCCAAUCAUGCCAAAUCGAAAUAAUCUCAUACCAAGGUAAUUAAACAUGCAUGUAAUAAAAUACUACCUCUAUCUUGAAAUGCUUAUUGCUUUUUGAGAUUCCCACUUUUUAAAAAUAGUGGAUUGAUAGUUAUGUUAGUGGAUUUAUUUCCAAAAUUACUCUAAAAAAUUUAAAUUUUAAAUUUGAAUUUAGUAGGGAAUAUAGAUAAAGGUGGGAAUAAGAUUGGGAAAGAGAUAACAAUAAUUUUGGCUUUAGUAAGAUGACAAACAUUUUGGGACAUCCCAAAAUAAAGAAUAUGAAACUUUCAAUAGGAUAAAAAGAGUACCAGAUAUAGCUUAAAUAUUAGAUUUUACUGCUUUAGAAUAUUUUCCAUCAUAAAAAUUGAUUCAUUAAGUUCAACUUCCAGAGCAUGUAUUGCUAUGAAGAUAACUGAUAUAACUGGUAAUCUAAAUAUCAUGACUUUGGGAGAAGAAGUUGAAAGAUUGAUAUCUAUUACUGCCAUCCAAUUCCGACAAGCUAAUAAUGAGGUAUAAUGUGCCAAACAAAUAGAAAGAGCCUUUCAUUAUUUUCAUCUCCUAAUACGUUUUUAUCUUUAUUACUAUAGGGAAGUCCCAUGCAAAACGUGGGGAUCGAUACCUAUGAUGUAGUUAAAUAACUUGGAAGUGUUGGAGAGUUUGAUAUCAAGUGGAACACACUUAUAUGUUCCUUAAGUUUUCUAUUGUCAUAAUUUGCAUCACAUUUUUUUGGUGCUUGGCUGGAACCUUUUUCUUGAGUAAUGACCAAAGGUUGUUGGUAUGAUCCCUUACUUUCCUUUCAAUGUCUAAUACAAAUAGAAACUCAUGGUGUUAUCAUAUGUAUCAUUUUCCCCUAUAUUUAAUCUUUCAAAUAAAGUCGGGUUGUUCCUUUCAAAUAAAGUAGGAUUGUUCAAUCAGGAAUACUCACCAUUGUUUUGUUCAGUAGUUUCAAUAGAGCGAACAUGUAUUUUCUGUGCUUUAUGCUUAUUUCCCAUUGUUUUUUUCAUACUUUAUUUUUUUCUUCUAUUGUUAACAAUGUAUAUCUUUGUCUUGCCUUUUGAUAUCAAAGUUGCUUCUUAGCAUUAAAAUUAUAGAUAUUGUUUGUUUGAUCCAUCCUAAAUUUCAACCUACAGGCCUUAAACUUAAACAUAUAAAAUUUAUAUAUACCAUUUGUUUGCUUAACUACUACAACUAAAAACCACUAUUUUGAUUAAUACAUGCAUCUACAAAUAAUUAGAGAGGAAAUUAAUUUUCCUCAUUACAACACUAACUUGCAUCAAACAAUUAUCAGGUAUACGAAAUUCAGUACAAAAAAAAUAGAGCAUGUAAAUACAGCCACUUAUCUAUUCAAAUAGCAAUUUCUAUUCACACACAAUAUCUCAAUCACUUAACUAUCAAACCAAUAAAUUGCAUAAUUGCAAUAUAAUUUUCAAAGUGAAAUAAUCAUUCACACACUUGUUCAUUCGAGCACACAAUUCAAGUAGAUCAAGUACAAUUGUAAUCACAUUUAAUUAACAAAUGACAUGGAUCAAGUGGAAAUGUGGAGUUACCCUAUACCUUUAGCAAAAAAGUGCAAUCUAAGAGCAAAAUCUCUCCACACUUCACCUGCCUGCAAUAGCAAGCAUAAAGGUUUAUUCACGAUUUUGAUUGUCAAAUGGAAGCUACACAACCUAUAGACUAGAAGCAAGAGCAAACUUGAGCGUACCUCUACAAACCCAACUCUGAUACUGUGCAACAGAAUCAUCUAAAUCCAUAAUUUGUAUCUUAACAAAAGCCAUUAUUAUAACGUACUUUACAAAUUGAUGAAAAAAUGUUGAAGAAUAUGGGAGGUCCUACAAUUACUCUUGUAACAUUCACCCCAAAUGAUUUUUCACCUCUCACACUUUAAUGGCCUUAUCAACGCUGCAUUUACUAUUGUAAGAGCUGAAUUAAUGGUUCUUGAUCUUUAAAGAUGAAGAAGACAGAGCUUUUUGCCGUUACAAUUCAAGCAUUCAUCUUUAACUUUAGUGCACUAAUAUUGUCUAAUGCAUUUCAUUUGUGCAAUCAAUUCAGCUAAACAUACUCGAGGGGAGUUCAUUUUGCUUUUCUAACCACUUUGCUAAAUCAAUGACAAAGCAGCCAAAUCAUUAGCCCCCAAAGGGUACAGUAGGUAUACCAUGCGAAAUUAGGCUGCAUAAACUCAUGCAUUUUGCUUAAUAAAUGCUAUACAGUUUUAUCAUUUCCAAAAUGCCCCUACAAAUUUCAGAUGAAAAUCACCCAAGAAUCAUACAACUCCUUUAUGUAUAUAUAUAUAUAUAUAUAUAGGAAAUGAAGUCCGCGCGAUACGCGGGAUUUGGGUGCCUGUGUAUAUACAGGAUACUAAAAGAAUUAGAUACGGAGUCAAAUUAUUUUAGAUUAAAUUAAAUUGUUUCUUUAAUCAUAUGAUUGAGAAUGAGACUAAAUUGACGAAACAAGUGUAUGUAAUACUAAACAGUUUCCUUCAAAGGGAAAAAAAAACUAAACAGCCCCGACGCCAACACCAAUUUUCAAGACAUCUGUCAACAAUUUUUCAUUGAAAAACUGCUCUGCAGACAAGGGCCAUGCAACCAUUGGCACACCACAACAUACGCCCUCUAGAGUUGAAUUCCAUCCACAGUGAGUCACGAAUGCUCCCACAACUGCAUGCUCAAUAACGGUAGAAUUUGAAGCAAAAGGCAUUCAAAGAGAUGCAACUGGAACUAAUGCCCAGACAUGAAACUGUCAUUAACUUCUUCCACUAAUGUUUUGGCAAACCAUGUUCUCCAAACCUUAAUUGAAAACUAAGAGAGGUUCAAGUAAUUACAACAACACAAAGGCUAUUAGCACUUGUACCAAUUGCUUGAAAGGUCACUACAACAAAAUUACAUUCCCAAAAUACCCAUCCCUAAUUAAUUCUAGACACUAAUUAUCAAUAAAUCACCCUCUCUUGAGUUUAAUUACUAACUAAGAACGUUUACAUAAAUUCAGUGAAACAAAUGCUGUUAUCACUUGUACCCACUGCUAAAAAUACAAUUAAAAUAAUGGUACAAUCCUACAAUACCCUUUUCUUUUGCAAACAACACUUUAUGGGCAUUCACCACACAGAAGACCAUAUAUGCCAAAGCUAAAAACAAAAGCUGUAUCAACAAUUGUACUCUAUGCUAUAACAACACUCCAAAUAAUCUCAUAACCCCAAAAUGCCCCUACCCUUGCGGUUGAAAUCCAAAAGUUAUCUUUGCCUUAGACUCAUUCUUAUAUAGUAUAAGGAUAUAUAUAUAUAUAUAGGAAACAGGCUAUGGAUGUGCUCCAUUAUAUAACAUGAGCUCUCGAGGGCAAACACAUGUUGUGCUAUAUAAAGAAGACCACUCUACACAUGAGACCAAUGAAGGAAACAACUUAUACCAAACAUUAAAUGCCCUUCUUUUGAGGAAACAACAGUUAUCCUACAAGCUUUAAAUGCCCUUUUUAUUAGCUAAAAAUCCUUGAAACUUAUAACUCUAACCAAAAUGCACUCCAUUCAAACUUUUGUACAUUAAUAUCAUAUUUUAUCAUCCACUAUGAAAAUGUAAUACUUAUUAGCUACUCCCUCCCUUUUUUUAUAACAGACGUUUAAGGUUUUGCACACCAAUUAAGAAAAGUUUUUCAUUGUUUAAAUCUGUACACUACUUUCCUUUUGUACCCUCAUUAAUUGUCCAAUUCACCCAUGUUUUCUCUCACUAGAGUACUAAAUGGUGCUGUUUUACUAGGUCAAAAGUAGUAAUUAAGAACCCUGUAUUGGAAAAGAGAGAUAAAAGGGUAAAAUUGUGAAAAAAUAAUUAAUAUUGUAUGGGGAUAAUAAAACGACAGAUAAAAGUACACUAGAGCAAAUUUCUUAAACGUCAGUUAUAAAAAAAGGGAGGGAGUAUUAAACUUCACUAGAUAUCUUAAAAGUGAUUAGAGAGUUGUCAUGUUUUUUUGUCCACCAUAUAUCUCGAAACUUGAGCAUCUAGUUAAAGAUGCACAUGCAUAAGAUCAAUAGUUUGUUCAACUAAUGUAUGCAUAUACAUGCCAACCUAAAUUUCUAAUAUUCAUAGUGCAAGCUAUAGACUUUUCACUACAUUUAACUUAUUCAAUUAUAGUUUUCUUCAUCCUCUUGCUAUUUGAACUAUAGCAGAGACUAUAUUCACCCUUGCAAAUACAAAACAACUAUGAAUACAAAGAUAACAAAUAUUUUCUAAAUAAUGACUAAUGCCAUUGCCUAAUCUAAUGAUGAAAUUAAAAGAACAAAAUAAGAACCAUAUUGGUAAGCAACGGAUCUUUUGUCCCACUUCUUAUUAAAUUGCUAUUUCUUCUUUAUAAAUAUUAUAUUUUAGCUCUUUUUUGUUUCUAUAAGAUCCAUUUACUAUUAACUAAGUAAAAAAAUAAAUACAACGGUCUCAAGAAAUUAAUACAUGAUAGAAAAUUAAAAAAUAUAGCAAAAAAUUCAUAAAAAACCUCAUUUUUUUAUGCAUUUUGAUUUUUGAGUUUGUUAAAAUUUGUGUAUUACUCAAUUAAUAGUUAUUGGAUUUUAAGAAAAAAAAAAGAACUAAAUUAUGAUGUUUAUGAAGGAAAAAUAGUAAUACAAUAAAAAGUGGACAGAGAGUAGCACAUGAAGUAGGACAGAAGAUUCAUUACGAUAUUGGUAUCUAUAACAUAUCUUCCACAAUAAUGACAAUUCUAUCAUCUUUAAUCUUUCUCUCCUUAGACACAGUUAUUAGAAUCUCCCUAUCAGAUUAGGCCUCCAUUUUUUGUGUUUUAACAUUAUUGAGUAUCCCAUAGUAAGAUUCUACUAGUCCAAACACUACAUACUCCAUAAACAAGAAUCAUGACCAAUAAAAUCCAAACUCCAAAUGCUUUAAAUUGUACUUUUAGUAGAAGACUAAACCAAUACUACAUAAAGUAAGUCACCUUGCUUAAAAUCUUUUUCUUAUGUACUAUCUGAAACUCUUUUUGGCAUAUAAUAUCCCCUUUCAAUAUAUAAUAUCUGCAAUGCAUCCUUACUACCAUCUUAUAUUUAUUAUUUUACCAAUAUUUUCUAAUUAUCUAAUACAACAACUACUAAUCAAUAUAGCACAAAAUAAAACGAAAAAGAGAACAGGUACCCAAGCCCCGUGCAAGACCAAGUAGUCUAAAGCACAAGUUCUAGAAACAUUAAUGGACUUGUCAAAUGUGUUAUGAAAUAAUUAAAUAUUGUGGAUGUAUAUCACAUUUAUCUCAUCUCCUAAAUAGUGACAAGUUUUUCAUAUUCUUCAAGGUGAUACAGCUAUCAUGACUUUUGAGGUGAUAGAGAUUGCACGACUUUCAAUAAAGCUAUUACGACUUUUGAUAAAGCUGCAAAAUUGUCGAUAAAACUAUCACGUCUUACGAGAAAAUUGUAUCACCAUCUUGAAGUAAGUUAUUUGCUAUACUUUUCUCUAUAAACAGGGGUUAUCCUUCUUUGUAUCAAAGUGAUAGAAAACCGAAGUUUCAUUUGAGUGAAUGGAAGAAUAGUUCUUACUUACUUUUCCCUUUUCCUGACCUCUUUAAUUUUCUUAUUUUCUUAACAUAUUAUCCACCACAUAAAAAACUCAAAUCCUAUAUUGUAUUAGCAUUAAUUUUAUAAUACAUUAUCAGUAUGAGACUUUGUCGAAAAUAGACAUUUUUUUGGGUAAUUCUUAUGGUAAAUUUCGAGAUAAUAUUUCUCACCUUUAACUCUUCAUUUUUAUUAUGGCUAACCUUACAAAGCAAGAGUUUGUCCCUCUUGAUAUUUCUGGAAGAAAUUACUUAUUAUAGACAAUGGAUGUGAAGAUUCAUCUUGAAUCCAUGGGUCUUAAAAAAAUCAUUGCCAAAGAUAAUGAUGCAACAAGGCAAGGCUAUGCAAAAGUUAUGAUAUUCCUCCGUCAUCAUCUUGAUGAAGGAUUAAAAACGAAACAUCUUACGAUCAAGAAUCCACUUGAUCUUUGGAAUAAUUUAAAAGAAAGGUUGAACCACUUGAAGUUGGUUAUCCUUUCAAAAGCCAGAUAUGAUUGGCUUCAUCUACGGUUGCAAGAUUUCAAAACCAUUAGUAAAUAUAAUUCGGCCAUGUUCAAAAUCACCUCUUAGUUAAAGUUAUAUGGUAAAAAUGUAACUGAUGAGGAUAUGUUGAAAAAAAAUAUUUUUCACCUUUCAUGUCUUGAAUGUGCUCCUACAACACCAAUAUUGAGAGAAAAGAUUUAAAAGAUAUGUUGAACUUAUUAUAUGUCUUUUGCUGGCUGAACAAAAUAACAAAUUAUUAUUGAAAAUCAUGAGUUCUGACCAAUUGGUGCUAGUCCAUUUUUUAAAGUAAAUGUGACUCAAUCUUCGAAUUAUAGACAUAACAAUGGUCGUGGAAGAGACCGUGGAUGUAGCCACAAUCAUGGACGUGAUCAUAAUAAAUAUGUGUCUUGCCACCGUGAUCAUAACCAUGACAAGAAACAAAAUAAUGGCCAGAAGUCGAUUGAUAAGAAAAAUAAUAAGAAGAAAAAUUAUGAAAAUAAAUGCUACAGAUAUGGUAUGUUGAUCCCAUACCUGUCGUAUGACUGAGCAUCUUGUUGAACUUUAUUAGACAUCAUUGAAAAUGAAAGAUAAAAUGCUGAGAUAAAUUUCAUUGAUCAAAAGAAUAUUUGUGAUGAUGGUGAUAUCUAUAUUGAACUGGAUUUGCUAAUAUUAGUGUAAAUUUUAAAUGGAAAAUCUGGUUGUCCAUGGAGUAUUUAUAAGGAGGUGUAGCAAAUUUUUGCCUUGUCAGCUCAUUUUUUGUAGGUUAGACACUGCUUUCGUCAGGCGAACCAAGUUGCCAAUGCUUUAUCAAUGUAGGGUAUUCUCAUGUUGGAGAGGAGAUUUAUCCGGCAAUAUCAUCAUUACCUCCGCUUGCUAGAGAAGCCACAUGUCUAGAUAGGUUAGGCAUUGCGUCUAUUAGGAAGAUUCCGCACAAGCAGGUAGGGGAGUAGACCUCUGUAUCUUAUGAAGCAUCAUCAAUUGUAGUCACCCAAUUUAUAUAAUAAAAUGGGGAUUGGCAUCCCUCCCCGUGGCCGGGGUUAGCCCAAAAAAAAAAAAAAAAGAAGAUGAUAAAUAUUAAUUUAACACAUUUUGAAGUGGCCGAUUUCUUUAAGCAUUCUGAAGAUGCAAAAUGACCAUCCUAAAGAUGCAAAAUGAUAUGACAUAUAUCCGAUGAAUGUUUAAAUUUUUGUUAUUUUAUUAUUUUCACAUCUUUUAUGUAAUUUACUUUAUGAGUUAUGUAAUUUAUGAACUUUAUUAAUGUUUAAUUUUAUUUUCUUUGUUAUUUUUUCUUUGAGAAGAAAUGGAUGCCAAAUAUUUGGAACUAAAUAAUGAUGAUGACGAAAUUUAUCUCAUUGACAAUGCAACUACACACACUAUAUUCAAACAUGAAAGGUAUUUUUCCUAUUUAGAUAUGGGAAAAACAAAUGUCAAUACCAUAUAUGGUAGUGCUAAAUUGAUUGAAUAUUCCAAAAAGACACUAUAUCUUUCACUAAAGGAACUAUAAUUGUAAUAAAUAAUGCAUUAUUCUCUACUAAAUUUCAAAGAAAUUUGUUAUGUUUUAAAGAUAUCCACCGAAAUGGGUAUCAUAUCAAGAUAAUAAAUGAGACAAAUGGUGAAUAUUUAUUAAUUACAAAUAUCACUUCUAGAAAGAAAUAUGUAUUAGAAAACCUUCACUUUUCUCUGACUUAUAUUAUACAAAUAUAAGUACAGUUGAAAUGCAUCACCUGGUAGAUUAGAAGUCUACUAAUCCCAAUGACUUUAUGAUUUCACAUGAUUGCUUUGGACAUCCUGAUUCCAUAAUGAUGAGGCAAAUAAUCGAGAAUUCAUAUGGCCAUUCAUUAAAAGGUUAAAAAGUAUUAAAUUCUAAUGAAUUGCCAUGUGUUGCUUGCACUCAAUAAAAAUUAAUUAUUAGAUCAUCACCAGUCAAGGUAAGAAUUGAAUCUCCAUUUCUAGAAUGAAUUCAUUGUGAUACAUGUAGGCCUAUAAAUCCACCAUGUGGACCAUUCAAAUAUUUUGUAAUGCUAAUUGAUGCAUCAACAAGAUAGUCACAUGUAUGUUUAUUAUCUAUUUACAAUCUAGUGUUUAUGAGAUUGCUUGUUUAAAUAAUUAAAUUACGAGCACAAUUUCCUGAUUAUCCGAUUAAGAGAAUUCGUCUAGAUAAUAUUGGUGAAUAUUUGUCAUAUGCUUUUGACAAUUAUUAUAUGUCCAUUAGAAUAACUAUUGAAUAUCCUAUAACUAAUGUUUAUACACAAAAUGAUUUAAUCGAGUCAUUUAUUAAAUGACUACAAUUAAUUGCUAGAUUAUUGCUAAUGAGAUCUAAACUUUUUCUAUCUAUUUGGGAACAUGCUAUAUUAUACGUAGCAACACUUAUGAGAAUUAAACCGACAAGUUAUAAUACUUAUUCUCCCUUACAAUUAGCAUUUGGUGGUAAGCUCAAUAUUUCUCAUUUGAGAACUUUUGAUUGUGCAGUUUACAUUCCAAGUGCACCGCCUCAAUGUACUAAAUUGAAAGAGUAUAAGUCACCUUUUAUAAUUAAAUAUGUUUAACCGUUAACUGGUGAUUUAUUUACUGCAAGAUUUACAAACUGUUAAUUUGAUGAAUCAUAUUUUCUGACAUUAGAAGGAGAAAAGGAUCAACCGAAAAAGAAAAUUACUUGAAAAAUAUCAUUAGAUUUUCUUGAUUCUUGUACAAAAUAAUGUGAAUUGGAAGUUCAAAAAAUUAUUCAUUUGCAAAAAAUUGCAAAUCAAUUAUCAGAUGCUCUUAGUAAUGCCAAAAAGAGUUAUUAAAUCAUGUAUUAUUGUAGAAAAUGUUCCAGUUAAAAUUAACAUCCAAAAGGACAAUUACAAGUGCUAAUGAAUCUAAAGCACACCUAAAAUGUGGUAGACCUUUUGGUUCUAAAGAUAAAAUUCCUCAAAAUAAAAGAGAAUUAAAUAACAAUAAAAUCAAGGAGUCAAUAAUUGAUCAUAAAUUUUAAAAUACUGCUAGUGAUAAAAUUUAACUUACUUAAGAGGUUGCUCCUAAAGAACAUAUCCCUGAAGAUGAUCAAAUUAUAGAAGCUUCAAUAAAUUUUGUUACUAUAGGAAAAAUUUGAAACUGAAAAGAAAUAAUUAUUGAUGAUAUUUUUGCAUAAAAUGUGGCACUUAAAAUUAUGAAAGAAGAUGAGAAUCAUAAACCUCGAUCGGUUGAUAAAUGUCGGCAAAGAUUUGAUUGGCCGAAAUGGAAAAAUGUUAUCCAAUCUAGAUUGGACUCAUUGGUUAAAAGAAAAGUUUUUGAACUUGUAGUCCAAACAUCUGAAGGUGUAAAUUCAGUGAGAUAUACAUGAGGGGUAUUUAUAAGAAAAAGAAAUGAGAAAAAUAAAAUUAUAAGAUACAAAGCAAGGCUUGUAGUCCAAGAAUUUUCACAAAGAUCUACAUUUGAUUAAAAUAAGAUGUAGUUACCUGUAGUAGAUGUGAUCACAUUUAAAUAUCUUGUGAGUUUAGCAGUGCAUGAACAUUGAGAUAUAUGUCUAAUGGAUGUAGUCACUAUUUAUUUAUAUGGGAAUCUUGAUAACGAUAUCUACAACAAAAUUCCUAAAGGAUUCAACAUGCCCGAGGCAUAUAAAUUAAAUUCUAAAGAUAUUUGUUCUAUUAAAUUGCAAAUGUUUUUGUAUGGGUUUAAACAAUUUGAAUGUACGUGGUAUAACCAUUUCAGUGAAUGUUUAAUUUAAGAAUGUUAUACCAAUGACUCAAUAUGUCCAUUUACUUUUAUAAAGAAAAAUGGGUCAAAUUUUGUAAUUAUCGCAGUGUAUGUUGAUGAUCUUAAUUUAAUUGGAACUCUUGAAGAGUUCCAUAAGGUUGUUGAGUAUUUGAAGAAAUAAUUUGAGAUUAAAAUUUUUGGAAAGACUAAAUUUUGUCUUAAUUUACAAAUUGAACAUUUGGAAGGUGAAAUUUUUGUCUAUCAAACUACUUAUACCCAGAAAGUAUUAAAGCAGUUUUAUGUGGAUAAAGCACGACCAUUGAGUACUCUGAUGGACAUCAUGUUUCUUGAUCCGGAUAAGGAUCCUUUUAGACCAAAAGAGGAAGAUGAAGAUAUUCUUGGUCCUGAAGUACCAUAUUUUAUUGCAAUUUGUGCACUAAUAUAUCUUGUUAAUUGUACAAUAUCAAAUAUAUUAUUUGCUAUAAAUUUAUUAACAAGAAUUAGUUCCUCUCCUAUAAGACAACAUUGGAAUGGUGAAAUUGAUGUGCAACAGAUCCAAUCUGAUAAAAUCUUGCAUAUUUAUUUACCAAAACAUUGCCGACUGCAACGUUUAAAAAAUUAGUGAACAAUAUUGGAUGCAUCGGCUAAAAGAUCUCAAAUAACAUUUGAAUUAGGGGGAGAAAUUUAAAUACAAGAAUAGUGUACUCUUUUUCCUUCACUAGGAUUUUUUUUCCACUGGAUUUUUUCUAGUAAAAUUUUAAUGAGGUAUAUUCUUUGUGUAAUAGACAUCCAAGGGGGAGUGUUAUGAAAUAAUUAAAUAUUGUGGAUGUUUAUCAUAUUUAUCUUAUCUCCUAGAUAGUGACAAGUUUUUCACAUUUUUUGAAGUGAUAAAGUUAUAACGACUUUUGAAGUAAUAGAGAUGACACGACUUUUAAUAAAACUAUUACGACUUUUGAUAAAAUUGUAUGACUGUCGAUAAAACUAUCACAUCUUAUGAUAAGAUUGUAUUACUAUCUUGAAAAAGUUUGCUGAUGCACUUUUCCCUGUAAAUAAGGUUUGCCCUCCUUUGUAUCAAAGUGAUAGAAAAUUGAAGUUUUAUUUGAGUGAAUGGAAGAAUAGUUCUUUCUCACUUUUCUCUUUUCCUGAACUCUUUAAUUUUCCUUACUUUCUUAGUAUAUUAUCCACCACAUAAACAACUCCAAUCCUAUAUCACAUUAGCAUUAGUUUUAUAAUAAAAUGUGUUUUGUGGGCUUGUAGCAUUUAGUCAUUACAGGGGCCUGUAUAGCAUUUAGUCAUUAGGCAUUUAGCAUUUAGUAUAGUUUGGCAGACAUUGUAAACAAUAGUAAUUUUUUUUCCAUAUUUUUAUAGUAUUGGAGUUUUAAUUUUGUUUCUCUGUGACAGGUUAUGGCAUAAAAAUUAUUCUAAAAAGAUUUUUUAUUUAACCUUUCAUUUGUUUCUUUUAGUGUUUUGAUCUUUAUCACUAAUUGAGUCGUGAAUACUGCAAGCAUGGUCAAGUUUGGACCGAACUUUGGACCGAACUUUGGACAAGUUCGGUCUCGCAUUCUUUUUUGUUUGGGUAAAGUUAGGAAUCUUAGUGGAUAGUAUUUUUUUUUUAUUAUUGAGUAGUUAUUCAAUACACUAGCAAAGAAAUGGUGUUUGCGUCAUUUUUAUUUGAAUUGAUGUUGAUUAUUAAUUGGAUUAUGUAUGAGUAAAACCGUUAGAAAGAACUGUAGGUGUACUUUUUUUUUUUUUUCAAAUGUUUAAUUCUUUUCAUAUUGAGAAGAAUGUAGUUUUUUUCUCAUGUUCUAUUUUUACUUGUUAUUUAUUAUUGGAACAUUUUAAACCUGUUUCUUCCUUGCUUGAUUGUGGGUUUCAAGUUGUUUCUUAAAGCACCUGGUCAUUCUUCCAAUUGUUCUCUUGUUGUAGCGUCCUUCUGAGUUUGACUUGUGGAAUGAGAUAUACUUGUUUUAUCAACUAAGUACAAUCAAUCAAUAUAAUUAUUGUUUCUUUAAUGAAUUUAUACUUGUUUUUAUCAACCAACUUAAAAAUAGAAAAUUAUACAAAAAAUAAUCAAUGAAUCAAUAUAAUUAUUGAUUCUUUUUCAGCAGAAUUUUGUACGUGUGAUCAUUAGUGCUUAUCACUUAAAAUAAUUUGGUGUGGAUUCAUCCAAGUAAAUUUAUGUAUCUGCAAAUAGAAAUACAAAGCAGAAAGACAAAUGAAAAAAGAAUCGGCUGAUUUUGUUUUUGUCUUUACAAACAAUAAUUGGUAUAUUUUUCUAUUCUAAGGAAAUGUCAUAUAGGAAUUGGCCUAUUAUGUGGGAGUUUAUCUCUUACAAUCAUUUCUUUUGGGUUCCACACAUUGAUGCCUUCCUAGUGUUCUUGAUGUCUUUCUUUUAUGCAUACUUAUUUUUAUUUUAUCAACCAAAUAGAAACAGAAAACCAUAUGAGUAAUGAUCAACACAUAAUGGUUCUUCUUAAAAAAUAAAAAAAAAAUUAACAUUUUUUUGAAUCGAUUUGGUUGGUAUAGAUAACGUAAUUAGAUCUGAGAUUGUUGAUCAUUUUAAGGCUCUUGUGGAAUGGAUUGGUGGCAUGCUAUUCUUGAAGAUCAAUCACUAAAUCAUGGAUGUUAUCUGCAUAUUGAGGUUCUUGCCAAGUUUGUUAGAUGGGAGCUGCAUAUAUGUACGUACAUAUAUACAUCAUAUACCCAAUACAUAAUUUUUGUUUUCCUAUUUUGUGUUGAAAUGUGGAGAUGGUUUGUCUAAUAAGUAAUUUUAGUGAUAAAGUUUGUAAUUUUGAUUAUUUAUAUUUUUUUUUAUCUAAUGCUUGCUUAAGAAACAAACAGUAUCAAAUUAAAUUUCAUUAACGAAUUGUUAAAAAUCGUCCAACACGACUUAAUUUACAUCAUUGUUCAAAUUGCAGAUUUAACAUGUAUUAGAAAUAACAUAUCUAUAAUUUAACAGAUACAAUUAUUUUAUUUCAGUGUGUAGUACAUGUUGGCAGCUUUUUAUAUUUUUCUUCCACUGUCUCAUUAUUGUGCUAAAGUUGCAUUUGAGGAUUAAUUUUAUGUAAUAAUUGUCUUCUCUCCAUCUCUGGUUUUCUGUCACCACUGAAACAUGCAUGACCAAAACUAUGCCAGGAUGAAAUAAUUUAGCAGUAAUUUAUAUGCGGUUGACAAUCUUCCACGAGCAAUUCAUUAAUUUAAUAGUCAACUCUUUUCCUAGCAAACUUAGGCAGAGCAUAGCCACAAGUUAAUUAAAUAAAGAAUUGGUUUGGCUUAAGUUUUGGCCUAUAUGAGUGCUUAUCUAGUCUGCCAAAUAUUUAUUUUACUUUUCUGCUACUAUCAAAAAAUAUUACUUUUUAGCUGGACUGCCCAUAUUUCCCUUUCAAUCUUAGUCAUUAAAUUUCCAAAUUUAAAAUUUUUAGUCACAAAAAUUUUUCUUGAGCCAAAAUCGUCAACUAGUAACAAAAACGUACAGUUUUUUGUACUCAACUAAUAAAGAAGGCGUACAUUUUUUGAUAACUAGAUUGUGUGAAACUGACACUUCUGGUCAAGUGCUGUCUAUUUUAAUUAAUUGAUUGACCAUUUUAGCUUAAAAAAUGUUCAAAACAAAAAAUUUUCAAUAGGUCAGCUACCAUUUGCGCCAUUUCCCUAAUUUCUUAUGUUCUUUAUUUAGAACAUGAAACUUAAGGUGUACAACUUGGAACUGAAAGUUUACUCCAUGGACUUUUUGACCCUUAAUUCAGUUUUUUUUUUCGGUCCCUUCUUCUAAGUGACUCCAAUUCUUUCUUUCUUCCUUUGUGUGUGUGUGUGUGUUUUUUUUUCCUUUUUUUUUUCAAUUGGUGUAGAAAAGAGAGUAAUAUUCACUUACCAUCAGAAGAUUAACUAUAGCAGCAGCUCUCAAGACCAAUACUAUCAGCUGAUUCUUUUCAUUAACACAUAUUUUAAAAGGCACUCUGAUUCUUUUCAUUCCAAUUGGGAGCCAUUUUCUCUUAGGGUACGUUUGGUUCCCAUAGAAUUGGAGAGUAGAAUUGGAAUUGGAGCUCCAAGCUCCAAUUUCAAUUCUUGUGUUUGGAUACUAUCUUUUCUGUAGAAUUAGAAUCGAAUUGCAAUUCCAAAUCGAUCGAAUUCCAUGGUUCCAAUUCUUUGGCUGGACCAAAGAAUUCCAAUUCUAAUUCCACGACUGAACUCCUCAAUCGGGUCAACACGCGGGUCUUGUACGGGCAAAAUCUCAAAAAUGGGUCAACUAUAAAAGUGAUGGAAAAAACUCAAACCUCUCUUCUCUUUCCAUUAUCAAUCGCCAUAUCUAAUGCUCUGUUGGAGCAUUCCUGCCGCCGCCUCCUUCACUUGUGCUGCCUUCACCCAUCACUAAAGGCUUGAACUGAGGCGAUGAAGAAGAGAGAAGAGAGGAGUGGCGCAGGCCAACGUAAGACAGGACCUGAGUCAGCGACGACGUGCCUCUGAUGAUCUGAACGAAGAUCUGGAAGAAGAAAGCCAGCCAGUUUAAUAGUGCUCUCCAAACUUGUAUAGUCUUCGGCGCGUAGACGUCGGCGGAUUGAGCCAGCUCCGCCAUCAUACAAGGCUUUUGAGUUUUGGCUCACUGAUUUUUGUUCUUUUAUAGUUAGUAUCUUAAUUUUCCAGUUAAGUAGGAGUUUAUGUAUGGGUCUUAUAAGAAGUGUGGUGAGGAGUUUUGGGAAUUCAGUCCAUAAUUUUCAGUGGUGGCGUAGGUGCCGACGGAGUUGUGGUCAAGGUGGUGCCUCGACGAAGUGGUUGUGGUGUUGAUUGAGAGAGAGAAAAGGACACAAAGAAAGGGAAAAUGGGAGAGUUAAUGACACGCGUUUGGGGAGGGUGUCUUGGGGGGAUGAAAAAGGAAAAGGAACUUGGACGUUUCAGUUCUAUACUAGUAGUAGUUGAUUCAUUUUACCACUACUUUUCUUGAUUCUUUUAAAAUUUUCUUUCUUUUCCGUUCUUCAACUGUAAAUUUCGGGGCUUUGGCUGAUAUUUUGCCAAAAAAGAAAGUAAUUUGCAUUUUUCCUUUAAAUUUUUAGUAAAAAUUAGCUAAAUGUAAGAAAAAAAAGAAAUUAUUAUAUAAAAAAAAAGAAAAAAAGAAAAAUUUUAUGUAAGCAAAUGUUUUAUGAAAACAAUUCUAAUUCCUAAUGAAUUCUUCUCUCAUCCAAACAAAAAAUUUGGAAUUCCAAAUAAAUUCCGUAUCAAUUCUAUGUAUUUUCCAAACGAAAGAAUUGCAAGGAUUUGGAUUUCUAAUUCAUAGAAUUCAAAUUCUAUAGAAUUUUAAUUCUAAUUCAAUUUCAAUUCUGUAGAACCAAACGUACCCUUAGUUCUGACAAAAUUGUGGUUGGUUUCAGGGAUGCCUUUUGUGCAGAAUCAGAUUAAAAAAUGCAAGUAAAACUGUGCACUUGAAAUGUAAACCUUAUCGAAAUAAUUGAAAAGCAUUAUGUUUAUCAAUAUUUUUCACAAUAUAUUAUUUGAUAAUGCAAUUCAACACUUAAAUUUAAUAUAUUCAAACGCAUUUUAUAACAAAAAAUUAAACAUCUGAUUUAAUUAAGUACUACUGAAUUUACUAGACAAAACUCGCUCCCAAAAAUAAGCGAUAAACUGUUCACUUACCACUGAAUGUGAUAUACAGUAAAAUGUAUUUAAUUUAAUGCUUAACAAUUCAAUAACUUAAUGAAUUCAGACUUCCGACUUCAAUUCCAAACUUUUAUCAAAUGCACCCUUAGUUUUUGUCGAAAUCUUGCUGUUCCAUAUGACUUCCAAUAUGUAUUCUAACACAAAACAAUUGCACUUUCAAGACUACUGAAAUACACAGCUGCUCUCCCUAGAGUCAGAAGCAAACAUACUUCCACUUCCAGAUCCAAUAUGGCAAACAUAAGUAGCAUCAGCUUAGCUCGUUGUGGAGAGGCCAUUUUGAUCAUAACAGGAUAAGUCCAUUGAACGUGUGCUUGUAAUCUUAGCGAACAAAGACGCUAUAAAGGAAGAAAUACAUCAAGAGUCCUCCUAAGAAUUCAAUUUGUUCAACUUUCCACAAUAUUUACAUCCUUUGGUACAGCAACCUAAACGACUAAUUCAUGAAUUCGACACUAAUUUACAGACAACAAACAUGGUCGAUAAACAUUGAAUUCCUUCACUCGUGCUACAAUAUUGAGUAUACCCGUAUGCAUUUCUUUUCUUCGGUUUCUGGCUUCUUCUGGCUUCUGUUCGUCCCCUUCUUCAGGAACGUAACCG